GGUGGGUGAUAGUAAUUGCAACCAUUCGAGAAUUUACCGCCACUUGAUGUGGGGAAUGUGAGAUAUCUUAUGCCAGUCUUCUCCUUUCCCCUCUCGAUAACGGUUUUCCAGAAGAGGACAUCCCUGAAUACUCAAGUGCUGCAGCGUCGUCGUUUGAAGAAGGUAAUCCGGCAGCACCUUUAAUUUGGGGCAAUGCUUAAUUUUCAAGGAAGAAAGACGUGGCAUGAUGGAGAUGUUUUCCUUCCUCGUAAUCCUGUAAUUCCACUCUUCCAAUUCAUCCAAGAACCAAAUUUUGAGAGAUUUCAAUUUGGGGAAGGCAAUAACUGAUGAUGACGAUGAAGAUGAAGAUGGGUCGUCCCAAUAACUGCUUUCUUCUAUUCCUAAAAACUCAUUACCCACUCUUUUUACACCAAUCAAAUUGCAUAGGAUGAGUUUUUCCAGAGGCAAUUUUCCCAAAGGAGGCAAAUGCUCACAGUUAAAACACAAGGAAAGAUAUAAAUUCCUUAGAUUGGUUAGUGAAGUCAACCAUUUGGGAAAAAUGACGCCUCCAUAGGAUUCAAUCCAUAAUUCCUCUACAUUCAAAGGCGGUUGUAAGGCUUCAAGAAGUUGUUUAUCUUUCUCGUUCUUCCUCCUCCUUUCUUCGCCUUCCCCAUCUACGACUACACCAAACUCAAGACGCAAACGAAGGAGGUUUUUCUUAUUGUAAAGUUGUAACCUCUCAGCCUCAUCUACAUGCGAUACAUUACUCAGCCCUUCUAUUCCACAUUCUCGAAGGAGUUGAAGAUUUUUCAGAGAUUCAAGCCUACACGUGCUGCCACCAUCAACACCUCCACCCACAACAAACUUUUCUAAUGUUCGAAGGCUGGUCAAUCUGGAAAUCCCUAUUGGCAGGUACUUCAGCUUUUCAGUUUGAUCAUUCAGUAAACUCCUCAUGUUCUUUAACUUCCCAAUCCCCGCAGGCAAUUCUCUAAGAUAUUUGCACCGCCUAAUAUCUAGUUUUUGUAAAUUAUAUAAUUCACACAAAGUCUCAGGUAGUCUCGCUAUAUACAAUUUAGACAACUUAAGAUAUUUUAAAUGUAUCAAUUUUCCAACAUUAUCUGGAAUUUCUGUAAUCCAAUUUGUGUCUUCAUACAAAAGCUUGGUCGAUUGGCUUAUAACUAAUGCCCUUAAACAUGCCAAUUUACUAAAUAACUCCCGAAGGAUGCUACUGUUAAGAGAUAAAUUGACAAAACUUUGGUCAUAAAUUAAUAGGGUACGCAAUCUAUUAAGUCCAUAAAUGGUCAUAGGAAAUGAAGCUCCUCCUCCAAAAUUUAACCCUAAGUGACGGACUUUGUCACCAAAAAAGUUUAUGACUGAUUCCUUGGUACCAUUAAUUUCUAGCCACAAACAUUCUUUGCUACUUACAAAUUGGGCAAAAUCAUGUACUAUGUCAUGCAUCUUACACCACAUAAAAUCAUCAUCGUCAUCAUAUAUUUUAAACUCUUGAAAGAAAGAGCGUGUUGCUAAGAUGUUGAAAUACUCUUCUCCAAUCAUCUCCAUUUCUUCGUCUUCUUCUGCAUUAAGGUAACCUUGAGCCAUCCACAGAUCAAUCAACUCCUCUUUAUCCAUCUCGUAGUCUUUUGGAAAGACAACACAAUAUGAGAAACACCGUUUUACCAUAGAAUUGGAGGGCAAAUCGUUAUAACUCAACAACAAAGGAGCUAAAAGACCUUGCCCAAUCUCUUCUACUUUCCACAUUUCACUAUCUAAAAUUAUUUGCCACUCUUUUUCUGUAAUUUUAGAGCGCAAGAGAUUCCCUAUUACCUUUGCAGCAAGAGGCAGGCCUUUGCACUUCCGUGCAAUUUUUCUCCCGAUUGGUUCUAAUUUUUCACGAUCCUCAAAGGACCUACGUAGAAAUGCUAUCUGCUUAAACAGUAACCAACAUUCCCCUUCACCCAACUCCUUGACAGGGAUAAUAUCUAUUGAUCCCAACUGUAGUGCAACUGACCUAUCACGUGUGGUAAUUAGAAUUUUACUUUCAUGGCGGCCAUUCUUUAGACAAGAAAAGAAUAGGUCCCAUUUUUUGUAAUCUCCAUCCCACACAUCAUCUAAAACAAGAAAAAAUUUCUUCCCUGUAAUAUAUUCCUGAAUCUGUUUCAUAAGAGAUUCGAAUUCGCUUAAACCAGAAGCUGACACACCUAAACCUUCAAUGAUUGCUUUGGCGACCCUAAUCUCCUCAAAAGUGUCUGAUACACACACCCAUAUAACUUUGUCAAAAUUUCUUUUCACCUCAUCAUUAUUAUAGGCUAGUUGUGCAAGAGUGGUUUUACCUAUACCCCCUAACCCAACUAGUGAGAUGAUAUGAAGGCCUUCUUGUUGUUCACUACUUUCACACAACAACUUGCUUAAGAGCUUCUUUUUCUCAUCAUCUCUACCGCAAACCUCUCCCUCAUCAAUCAAGGAGAUGGUUCGCACUCGCUCUGGAUUCCUAACAUUGUUACUCACAUUCUCAACAAAAUUAAACCUAUCUUUUCGAGUGGCAAUAUCAUCUAGCUUUUCACUGAUUUCUCUAAUCUUGACAGCAAUAUGAUGACGAAGACUGAGUUGUUUGAAACCACCAAAGCAGUUUGAGGCAGCAGGAAAGAAGGAACAUACCUUCGUCAAAAAAGUAACAAAAGCACUGUCGUUAUCAUCAUCAUCAUCAUCGCCUCGCUCAUCAAGCUGCAAUUUCCGUGUUUCAGUGAUCCACUCUUCCAACACAUCUUCCAUGUCGUAGGAUGCGUCUCUGAGCUGAUCCAGCCAAAAAGUAACAGCUUUGUCCUGCUUCAUUUGCCUCUGCUCUGCAUCUUCCAGCACAGCUUGAAUGGCUUGAAGAUUGGUGGUAAGCUUUCCCACUUCAUGUUCGACACCCGUGACAAGCCUCCACUUUUCUUUCACCUGAUCUUGAGCAAUGGAUUUCAGCUGGUCCAGGAGAGAGGAAACGAUCGCAUGAGCCAUUCUGAUAUUAGAUCAAAUGGUAAAUGCUGCAAUUGCUUUUCGUGCUGCUUAAAUGCUCAGAGGAAAGUAGCUUUUAUGUAUUCUGAGAGAAUGUUCAUUCAAGCAUGUUUGGAUUCUUCUUAUACUAAUUGGAGAUAUUUUAAUUUUUACCCUCAAGUCAAUGUCAAUGUGAACGUUCUUUUGUGCUGCAAAUUGAAGGAGUCCCCACAGGAGUCACCGUCGUGGGCUAGCUUUCUGCGGAGUACACAGCAUCAGCACUUGUAAAAUUUCUUACAUUUGUAUUUAGUUACUUGCCGCUCUUAAGAUAAUUAGCAACAAAAUAUUUGUAAACUGCAACAAAAAGCUCAGUGCAAUCUAUCUAUGAAUCUUGUGAGUUCACAUAUAAUACAGUCGAUUUAGAAUAGUCAUAAAUUUUUUUUAAUUAUAAAUAGUAGUAUAUUUUUAAUGGUAUAAUAUAUAUCGAUGAAACUAUAUAGAGUAAUUUCGCCUAAUUGUAUAAAUUCAUUAUGAAUAUCAUCACAAAUUUGUAUUUGGUCGGGACCGUGCGAGUGAAAUUUUUGAUAAAAAUCAUCUCCUGACAAUUUAUUUAUUAUAUUUUUCAAUUUAGCUUUAACGUAUGGAUCCAUUCCUUUUAUUAUCAGGUAGGCCAAAGCCAUUUGGUCAUUUGAUCCAUUCCUUUUAUUAUCAGGUAGUUCAAAUUUGUAUGGAUCCAUUCCUUUAGUUGGGACUUGGAAUAAGAUUAAAGAAAAAAAAGUUAUCCAUUUAUGAGACUUUAAUUUAUGUCAUUAUUGUUUAUUUAUAUUUAAUAUUAAUCAUGAAAAUUAAUAAUACCAUCAAUUAAUUGAUUUUACAUACUUUUUUAAAUAUUUGAUAAGAAUUUGAUAAAAAAUUAAUUAAGUAUUUAAAUUUUUAUUCAUUUUUUUAUUUGUUUAUUUUAUUAUGAAUACCCAAUAACUUACAAUAUGAUUAAUUUUCUUAUUCAGACUACUCAGCAUCAGCUCCUGUAAAAUUUCUUACAUUAUAAGCAACAAAAUAUUUAUAAACUACAACAAAAAGCUUAGAUCAAUCCACCGAUGAACCUUUUGAAGUUAUAUAUAAUAUAUUAAUUAUUGAUCUAGAAUAGUCUUAGUGGAUAGAUUUUUUUAAUUAUAAAUAUCAAUAAAUUUUUUAUCGUUUAAUAGAUAUUGAUGAAAUAAUAUAGUGUAAUUUUGCCCAAUCAAAUUAAUCCAUUAUGAAUUUCAGCACAAAUUUGCAUGUGGUCUGGACCGUGCAAGUGAAAUUUUUUUAUUAUAUUUUUCAACUUGGCCGACAACAUCUUUUUGUCAGGUAGGCAAAAGCAAAAGCCAUUAUCUCUAUUAUGCCAUGACAAACUCCAAGAUCUAAUUUAGAGAGCGACAACUUUUGUUAUCAGGUAGGCAAAAGCCAUUGUCUCAUUAAUUCAUUUGGUCAUUUGAAAAAGUUGUGGCUCUGUUUUAGUCCAGUGUCAAUAUAUAACUUUAUUAUGUCAUCACAAACUUCAAAAUAUAGUUUAGAGUGUGACUCGAAUAAUUUUAAUUAGUAAUUUAUUAUAUCUACAGUCGGAUACUUUGUUGAGAAAAAAAAAAAAGAAUAAAAUCUGUCCCAUAAUGAUUUUAAUAAAUAUCAUACUAUCGUCCACGUACUUGGGCCAUCUUCAAUAUGACACCAAAUCUAACACCAAAUCACCUUUUGUAUCAUUUUUAGUAUAAAAUACUUCUCUAAUGUAACACUAAAAGCAACACCAAAAUAGUGUUAUGAAUAAUAUUGCAUCAAAUAUGGUGCAACACUAUUCAUUUGGUGCUAGGAAAAAAAAGUCCCAAAUAUCCUUACUACCUUUUCUUAUUUACAUAUAUGUCCUAUUUUAUAUAAUAUUUUAAGUUAUUAUUAUUAUUAUUUUUGUUAUUAUUUUUUUUUCAUUUUUUUAAUUUUUGAAUAUUAUACUAAAAUUUUAAAUAAAAAAUAUUUAACACAAAAAUUAAUAAUAAAAAGAAAAUGCCAAAUUUAAUAAUUUUCUAUAUUUCUUUUGUUAAUCGAUAUAAAAUUAUUUAUUACUUAAUUAUAUGUAUUAAUAGUAAUAUUUAUUGUGUUAAUUGAAUUAAUUCUUGAAAUUAAAAGAAUAAAAAGAAGAAUAUUCUUUUUGGUGUAAAUGGAUUGGAGAUGAAAUAGCAAUUUGGUGUGAAAAAAGUACAUUUUUGGUGUAGUAUCACUAUUGUGGUGAUACUAUAGUGACACAAGAUACUGACGCAAAAAUCACUGACACCAAAAAUUAGUGUCAGUGUGUUCUAGCUUGAGCAUUACUGACACAAUUAACAAGUGUCAGCAAAAGUAAUUACUGACACUAAAGUGGUGUCAGUAAAGCCCAUUUUUCUAGUAGUGAAUUUUUAACUCAAUCGCAGGGCAUAAUAGCCUAGGUUGUUCUGCAUUUGGUUCGACUCAUCGCAAGCUUGGAAACUAUAUUAUAUGUCCAAAACGAAUACUCGUAACCCAAUUUCUAGCCUCGGAAGAUACCCUGCUUAUUCCAUGCAACAAUCUUAUAUCAACUUGCCUUCUCUGCAUCUUCAAGCACAACUUGAAUGGCUUGAAGAUUUAUGGUAAGUCACAAGCAGCAAAGGAGUUCAGCUGCUCCGGGAGAGGGGAAGCGAUCACAUCCAUUCUGGCAAAGAAAAGGAGAAAUAAUUUCAUAAGUUGUUCAACGUGCUUUUGUUGCAAAAAUACUGAAAGAAACGAGUUGUUGCAUUCUUCUUACACUACACGAAAAAUGUUUAUGGUUAUUGUCGCCUAACCCACGCGUCAAUAAUUUUAGCAUUUUUAAUUUUCCUGAUUCUACUCCACAUCUGUGAUACAUAAUUGUAAAUAUUCUCUAAUUAAUUUGUAGUGGUCGGGCCAGUGCCAUUUAAAACGAAAACAAAAAACCAAAAGAAAAAAAAAACAAAAGUUGGAAAAAAGCAUGCAUCACCGAUAAUUCAUUUAUUUAUUUGAGGACGGGGAUAUUUUCUACCUACUUAUUUUACAAAUCUACCUCGCUGUCAGAAAAUAAUUGUAAUACGUUCAUACUAUUUUUAAAAUAUAUAAAUCAAUAAAACGUAUAGACAAUCAAUAAAUUAAAUCAUUCAUAUAAUUUUUUAUUUUUUUAACUUAGGUGUCUUUGACCAUUUAGGUUGCUUUAAGAUAAGUUUUAUUUGACUAAUUUACCAUGAUAAUAUAAAAUGACUAAAAUACCCCAAGAAUCAAGAGUUCUUGUAUAUAAUAGUUUAGGUAUUUUAUUUUAUUUGAUUCAAUCUCCAAACUUAUUGUAAUUACAUCUUCUUUAUUUCAAUUUUUAAAAAAUAAUUUGAACUUAUUGUAAUUAUUUCUUGAGAGUGGGGUGGGUUUACAAAAAUUAUGGGCCUUUUCGUUUAUUAAUUCUUGGAAAUUAAUGGCUCCGUAAUCAAUUUCUUUUGUUCUUUUAUUUAAAUAGAAAAGAAAAAUUAAGAGGAGCUUUUGUCUAUUGAAUUGAGGUUCUGUGAAGAAAAAUACGUAUCAAAUGAUCGACGGAUUGUACUUUUCAAUUUUUUACUUCACAGUACUUUUCUUUAUUUGCUGGGUCAUUUAUGUUUUUUUGGACGGAUUUAAGUGUGCUUAUACAUUUUAUUGAAUUUUAUUUUGAUAAAAUCACCAACGAUCAGAAGAGAUUUACACUACCUAUCUGAGUAUUUGGUUCUCUAAUGUAAGGAAGCAUGUAAUCUUUCGCCAAUAAUUUUUUAUUUCAUCAAAAUGUUAAAAUGUUGAAAGGAGAAUUAGAUUUAUUUUUUAUAUAAAAAAGAGAAUUAGAGUUCAUAUUGUAGAAAAUUCUUUUUCCUACUAUAAGUCCAGUUCGAAUCUUUGAAGCAAAUGAUCUAAUCUCAAGCAUAGAAAGUAGGAAGAUCGAUUGAACAGCGGACACAUUAACAAAAAAUAAUUACUUUAAAAAGUUAAUAUUGGAUAUCACAAAACUUUUAUUAUUAUUAUUGUAAGUUGGUAUGUUGAAAAAUAAACAAGCUUUAUAUGAACUUUAAACACAGAUAAUAAUUUGCACGUAGUAAAAUUGCUUAAUACAUCCAUUAUUUUAUCAUUUUUAACUUUAUCUAUCGGUUAUUUUCAUUUUGAAAAUAUAGGAUAAAUGAAAUAAUAACAAACACAUAUUUCAAUUGAAAAUUUAUCAACUUGAAAACACCAUUUUCAUUCUCAUAAUAUGAAUUUAAAAAUAAAAUACAGAACAUGCCCUAACAUUUUCUGAAUUUAUUUUUAUACCGUAAAAGAAUCAAAUUACUCACACAAUUAUUUUAGCUUUUAUGAUAUAAACAAAUAAUCAUUAUUUAAAUUCAAUAGAAAGAGGUAUUCUUGGUAGAAUUGACGUCUUUAGCAAAAUAUAAUCUAUUUGGGACUUCUUACUCCAUUAGGUUAAUUGGCUCAUCAUUAAUUUUCGAUUAUAAACUUUAUAUUCGAACUUUGUAAGACCAUCAUUUCUCCCUUUUUAUUUUAAAAAAAAAAUUAACUUCUUGCAUGAUCUAGGUGGUCUCCUUUCAAAAGAAACCAAAAAAAAAAAAAAAACUAAAAUAAAAGGAAAUAAAGCAUAUUCUUUAUCUUAAUUACUUUCAUUUGUUAUUGACAUGUACUCAUGCAUUGUGGUCUUUUGUAUACUUUAUCGAUAUGUUUUGCUUAAGGGAUAAAACUCAUUAUGUGGCAAAAUUUUAUUAGAGCUGGGAUUAUUUAUCUGUGUUCUAGUACUUUGAGCAUCUUACUAUACACUCGUCUAUAAAAUUUUAACAUUAAUUUUUACUACUCAUCGAAAUAUCAAAAUAGUCCUUACUAAACAUCUCUCAUUAAUGUUCUGUAACGUAUGUGAAAAAAAAAUAAUAAUAAUAAGAGGAAGCUGGGUAAUGUUUUAUGGGCGAGAGGGAUAGAGGAAGCUGUCAAACCGACCCGGAAAACCCGACCCAAAACUGCGAACCCGACCCAGACAUAUCUCCGAUUUUCGGCCACCUCACCGGCCAUGGAUGGUAGCAACGAAAGCUCCUGAGCCAGCCAUCACUUUCCCACCGUCACUGUCGCCAAAAACCAACCGAAACGCCGCCGUUUGAAGCGCGAAUAGUCGCAGCCAAAACCUAUCACGACCGUCGUUGAUUCCGUCGGAAUUAGGCCAUGCCAGACGGAGAAAUGGUAGGGGGUAAACAGAGUUUGUAACGGAGGUGGGGUAAAUGGAGGAUGAUGUAGAGAGGGCAACCAACGGCCAUGAUGAGGGAGAGGAGGAGGAGGAGGAGGAGGAGGGUGAGGUUAUGGACGGCUGUGAUGGGCUUGAGGAUGUGGGGUCCAAUGAGAGGUGAUGAUGGUGGUGAUGUUGAUGUUGAUGUGUGGUAGAGGAUGAAUGUGAGGGAAAGGUAAGUGAGGAUGGAGAGAUACGUAACUAUUAUUUAUUGAAAAUUAAUUCUUUAAAUACUUUAAAAUGUAAAAUUAUUAAAUAAAAAUUCAUUCUAUUGUUGUUAAUUCACAAAAUUUUAAUUCAAUUAUAACAUUUCUACUUAUUUUUUUAAGUUAAAUUAUAUCUUUUUUAUUUUUUUUUCUAAAUUAAACUAAUUUUUCUAUUCUUCUAUUGUCUAAAGUUUUUCGACAUAGUUUUAUUUCAAAAUAGAUAAAACAAGCACAAAAAAAAGUGAUGAAUAAAAGAAUAUAUUAAAAAGAAAUAAGAACAAAUAACAACACAACUAAUUAAGAGAAUAAUAAAAAGAUAAAAUCAUAAAUUUGAGAUGAAAUCAUAAAUUAACUUAUAUUUAUAUUAAGGCUAUUGUUUGAAAAUUUGAGUAACGACCAAUAGUCAUAGAAAAUAGAGAAAACUAUUAGAUUUUUUCUUUUUCUUCUAUAGUAAAAAGUAGAGGAAGCAAGAUUUUUUCCCCUCUCUCUCUUUCUUUCUCUCAAACACCAAGAUGUCUUCAUUAUUGGAGGAAAAAUUUAAUGGAUAAGUAAUAAAAUGUAGGGCUUUUAUAGAGGUUCAAAAUAAAUAUAAAACUUUUGAAAUAUAACUUAUUAAUUUUAACAAUGAAAUAGAUAAUUUUUAGGAUUGAAACGAUUAAUUUAUUGGUUUUGUAGAAAUUAAAACAAUUAAGUACUACAUUAAAUACACUUUAUAGGAAUUUGAUAGUUUAUUUAGAAAAAAGAUAAUUACAAAAUAAUAAUAAAUUAAAUGAAUAAUAAUGACUUUUAAAUUCAUUUUCCUCUUUUAUAUACAAAAUAAUCAUCUCAUAGGACUUUUAUAUAAAGUGGAGUUCUAUGCAACUGCCUAAGUUGCCUAGAGGUCGAGCCGCUACUGAUUACAAGCCAAUAUUGGAGUGUUGAGGUAACUAGAUAUGAAGCCAUGGCUGGUUUUUGGGGGAGAAAGAUUUGGAAGAGAUUAUGUUGAGAGGAACGGGGGAGUUCAUAAAGUUUUAGGAUAAUGUGGAGGGUAUUUUGGACAUAUUACCGUCUUAGCUUAAAUUUUGGGAAAAAGAUAAUCAAUAAUAAACUAUUUUUUCAUAUCAAUUUAAAACUCCGAGUGUGUCUCCAAAAAUUGUUUUCUUUUUUUUAUUAUUUUGGAUUUUAAAUCUUAAAUUUAGUAAAGGAAGUUAAAUCAAGUGAUCACUUUUUUUUUUCAUGCAAAGCAAUUAAUCUUUUUUGUAAUUUAAGCAAAUAUUGGGUUGCGUACUUUAACAAUAUUAAUAUUUGAUUCGAAAUUUCAUCUACCGAAACUACAAAAAUUAUUAUUUUCUAUUAAAUCAAAAACAAAAUUAAGAAAUAACUUAUUAUCUGCCAACUGUCAUUCAACAAAGCCAUCACUCAUGCAAAAAAGGGAAAAAAAAAGUGAUAUAUUCAUUUUAACGUAAUUUCAUACCAACAUAUCAUCCUUUUCUUUUGAACAAUGACCUCUUCAAUAAUAAAAUAUGGUAAAAGAGGAUGGGUUUCAGGUCUGGCGUCCGGGCCUUGGUGACAAUGGCAUCUUCUGCUCAAUCAAACUUGUGGAUUACGUGCACUCAACGUCGACAAUAUGGAAAUGGGAGAAAAUUAUGUUGAGUAACAUCUUGUAUGGUCAACGCGUCGAGUAUGGACUUGCAUGAUCGAGUCAGUACAACUAAAGUCGGGUAGAGUUUGGUAAAUCUCUAUAUUGGCUUGAGGUUGGACAACUAUACCUUUUAAGCUACAUAUUUAAACAAUUUUAGUAAAUAUUUACUAUUUUGAUUUAAAAAUUAAUUUGAUUUGAUCUCAUAUUUUAUUAUUAAAAAAUUUAUAAUAUCUUUAAUAAUUUUAUUAAAUUAUUAUUUAAAAGUCAUACAUUUACUGCACAUUAUCAACUUUCUGCUAUUUUUUUUGUUCUCACAACAGCUAGUAAUAUCAAACAAGAGCUAAGUUAAGUAUGAUCAAUUAAUUAAAGUUUUGAUUUUUUGUAUAAAAUAAUCCUUAGAUAAUUAGUCUAUAUAGAAUAUUGGCUACUUCAAAUGGAAACUUGUGAUCAAAAGUGUAAUUCCCUCUAUCAGUGAACUAUACUUGCCAGGAAAUUAACCCCAGGCGAGUACCACCACCUCCUACUAUUUCUUAGGUGUCUCAGAGUUUGAUGAGGACUUCCAUGACGUGUCUCUUCGACAGGCAGCGAAAUUGGGCAAUUGACUACAUUAACUCCAACAAAUUUAUGCAGUCACCUUCCUCCGGACUAUCCUCUUUCUUCGCGCUUUAGUUGCCCUUAUUUCCCCUUUAAUACAGUCAACAUUAUCUUGUUUGAUGCCAAGGAGACCAAGCCCAGAAACAAUGGCAUUCUUUGAUAUCAACCACCUGGGGACUUUUGAGCUGAGCCAUGACAUCCUGAGAUGGCCUGUUGUGUAAGCCUUCUUCAAAAGGUCAUCCGUUAAUCUUUCUCCUAAUUAGACAUUCAAAACCCUGCAUGGAAUCGAUUUGAGAAGUUGGACAAUAGACAAACUCCAACACAUAUAGACAGUAAAGAAGAAUUUAGACCGCAAUCACUGUGGCUCAACAAAUGGGCCUAUUAAAGCCUAUUAAAAGUUGGAACCAUAUUCACCACUCGCAUUUCCUUAAGAGAGCUAUACCAGAAUUCUGUAAAUUUAAAACUUUUCUUACAUAAUUAACUGUAAAACAAGAGAAAUUGUACUUCCGUAGCAAAGUCUCACUAUUGGUAAGUAUCUGGACUUGGAAAGGAUGCUAGUUGAUGAAGUAAAGGAAAAUUGAAAUCAGACUUUGAGGUGACAGAUCUAUACACUUCAAUAGGAACCACAUUGACAUCAUAUGAGACAAAUAAACAUUCCCCAGUCAAAGUUUAACAAACAAAACAUUAAAACAAGAGUAGGUUGGUCUAUCAAUGUAUAUAUAGACAUGUCGAUCAAUAGACAAAUACGUAAAAGAGGGAGGGAGAGACCUCAAAGCCGUGCUACUCCAAUAACUUCAAAAUUGUUCGUGACCACUCUAUCAAAUCCACGCAAUAGUUGCAUACACUCACCGAUGGGUUUGUCACAGAUAACCUGUUAGGCAUUAAAAAUUGCCCAAAUUAAACAAAUGUUAGACCAGCUUAGACAGUAAACGGAACAAUAUUCUAAUUUUACUUUAUUUAUAACGAAUAAGUGAACAAAGGAAUAAAAAGGAAUUUUGGCAAAGAAUCCUGCAGCUAAUCCCACCAUACACCGCUCUGCAGGCUUAUUUGGGAGUCAAAAUUCUCAAAAUGUACUAAGAAAUGACAUUUGUUCACUAAUCCCACCAACAAGGAGGAAGUGACGUGAAGAGAAUUUACUAAGAAAUGCCAGUGUAUUAAUAUUGAAGGAAAACAUUCACUGACGACCAAAAUCGCUGAUAUAUGCUUAAUUUCUCACUCACUAAGAACGUUCAAUUCAUUCAAAUGAAACUUCCACAGGAAGGUCUCAUUAUUAAGGCUUUAGCUUCACCUCACAUGCUCAACAAUUCAAAUUUGAGGAUGAUAUUUCUCCAAAUGGAGGGCUCUAUUUGGCUUGCCAACAAUCUUCCUCACAACUAUCAUCCUUGCUAUAUCGGUUGCACUGAGCAAUCUUCAUUCUGACAUUUGCCCUAUUAACCUGAGUACACAAGAAUCCGAAACAACUGUUAGAAAUUUUAAUCUUUAUAUACAGCCAAAAUGGUGAAUAAGAUGAUGUACUGAUAAUAAAUACCUGAGUUAAUAAAUAAUUAAGGGGCCGGUAACAAUCUCAGCAUCUUAUCAAGUGGGGAAAGCCUUCGCAACGAAGAUGCUGCUUGCUUUCAAGCAAUAAUAACUUUCCAAUUCCAUAAGAUAGCUUAAUGCCCUUUUAAGAAUAUCUCCACCAGCCUAACAAUUAUUCAUGGAAAUCCAAUUUGCAUUUGUCGCCUUCAAUUUUCUCAUCUUUGUCUAGAGUAUUGUUUUUGCAUUAACUUAGCUAGCUUGCAAACCACCUGCAGAUGGUUUUAAAUAAUGUGUGAGAGUGUGAAUUCAAACGAAUUAAUUAAAUAUGAUGACAGGAGAAACAAAAUUAAAAUAACCACAAGAAGUAGAAAUAUACUUUUGUUAUAUUCAGAGCAUCUCCUACUGUCUUCAUUUCCCUUAGCUCUGUUUCCUUUUGAGCUCGAACGCAAUGCCUCAAGGCUCAAGAUAAUUUGAUGACCAUCAAUCUUUUUGCAGCCACAUGUAGACUUGAAAAACUGUUGGCGGCCCUAAAGAACUUGAAAAUUAGAAAAGAUUCAGAAUGAGUGACUAAAUAUUAUAAUCAAAACUAAUUAAACAAACGCGCCUUGAAAAUCUGAAACUGAAUUAAUCAAAUGUAUAUGCCCCUUCACUGCAAUUGCACGUGGUGGAAAUUUUACUGCGAAGACUUUCUCAAACCUUGAAGAUCACACUCGGCCUGACAACAAAGAAACAAAGUCAAUAUACGAAGAUGAUUUUACUAACAAGUGAGAGCUUACAAAUAUUUGAAGGAUAACGAUCACUCAUAACCCAUAUCCCCAGUAUUCCCUAAUAUUUCACUCAAGUGGGUUCAAGCUCCCAAAAUUCACUACAGUGAAAUGUCAAAACAAAACUCUCUUCUCAAAUUUGAUGAUGAUAUCUCUCGAAGGGAGGCAAAAGAAUCUAACACUGAUCAAAUUGGCUUGUGAACAAUUAAUCUUCCUCGCCAUCAUUCAUACCAGGUGCGGUGAACAAUCUUCAUUCUGACAUUUGCCUUAAUAAGCUGCUUAGUAACCUUAACCUGAUAACUCACACAAACAAAAACAACUUGCCUAAAGUUUAAUAUUUCGAGCAGAACAGUAAAGAAGAUGAUAUCUAUUGAUGCUAAAAUUUGACCUGUGUUACCCUGAUGUCAAAAGUCAUAGCAUCUCAUGUGGGCAAAAUCUUCGCAACACGAGAUGCUUGCAAAAUUGGAGCAGCAUCUUAUCACCUGUAAUUUAAUUGAGACAAUAACUUUCCCCAACCAUUUCAAUGCAUUAUUGGCAACUAAAUUCAGAGGGUGCUAAUUAAAUACCCUUUUAACAAUAUCUUCUUAUUCUUCUUCAAUCUAACAAUUAUUUGGAAAAUCUAAAUGACAAUCAUGCAUCGAUGGCAUGAAAAUUUGGCUACAAAGUAGCCUGGAAAAGGCUGCUCUCUGAAUGAGAGCAUGAAUUCAAACAAAUAUGAUGAAUGAAUAAAUAAAGGCAUAAUACCACAAGAAGUAAAACUUUUCCCCAGAUUUCUGUUUCUGUUUGUGCUAAAACCAAUGGAAACCGAUGGAAAUGAAUUUCUACGAAUUAGACAUAUCAGCCAAAACAGGUACUCCGUACAAGCAAAGUAAAAGAGGGUUACAAAAAAUUUUAAUAUUGAUAUGAUAAUUAAAAUUAUAAUGAAAAUUUCAGUUACCAUAUAAUUAAUAGAUAACUCUGUACACAAUGAUUUAUUGCAUAUUAAGAUUGUAUACCUGAAUUUUAAUUGCUAUACAAAAUAUGGUAGUAUCAUUAGGAGACCGCACCAAAUGUACCGAAUUGAAUGUGCCUUUUCACAGCCAUUGUACAAGCUUUGAAGCUUUACCACAAAUGCUUUCUCAAACCCGUGAUCAUGAUGCACCCGAGAGAUGCAAGAUAUGAAAUUGUUACUACAGCAGGCAAUAACCACAGUGUUAAAACAAAUGUUUAUACAGGAUAAAUGAUUCCAAGAAUGAAACAAGAUAGCAAUGAUGAUCUCAGCACCUUAACAUCACGCAAUAAUAAUCAUCAUGUCUUUCAAGCAGCUAUCCAUCCUCAAUUGAAACAGAGCAGAUCCGGCCAUCACUUCCUUCUUCAAAGUCCAGCAACCAAACGUUGCACAAUAACCACAGUGAUAAUCCUUGGUUACCCCAAUGUUCUCCAUAGAGUCUCCAAAGUCAAUCUAAAAAUGAAAUGCAGGUGGAAAUCAAAAUUCUAUUAACUAAAUAAAAUAUAAAGUGCAAUGCUUGUGCUUGAGCUUGCUUUAACAUCAUCAUAAUAGCGAAUUUUGAUACACCUUUACUUCUCUGUGGUUCAAUCAUUUACUUCCCUGUUCUUGUUUAUUCACAACAAGAUAUCAAUAGAAGAUGAUGGAAAUGAAAUUCUAUAAAAUAAAGCAAGUGAAUUACCAGUAGACCAUUUUAGCAAUCCUUUGGCUAAACUUUUCAUUUUCUUAGCACACUGUCCUGCAGUACUGCCUGCAUCAUUAAAACCAAAUUAGAUUGGACCUGUGAAUUGCUAGUGUGGUUCUGACAUUUCCUCGAAUCCCUGGUGAACAUAAUUAAACUCGUAUGAAAUAAAACAAAGUGGGCUAAUGUACUACUAAAAACAAUUACACAAUUACUUUAAAGAAUUAAUGUCACAUAAAUUAUAUAUAAAAAAAUACGAUUAUCAUUAUACAAGAUAAAAUUGAUAAUUUAGUUUUCGACAUUACUGCAAAUGUAUGAAGGAGAUUUUGUCACUCAGGAAGUUACACAUAACAAAUUUCCGUACAUUAAAAAAUAAAUUACAUUGGGAUUUUCUAUGAUGUUGUAUGAAAUUUUACAAAAAAGCACAUAUUUUUUAAAAGUAAAUAAAUAUAGAAAUUUCAACAGACUAAACUUGUAUUUUUUUUUUAUUUAAUCUUUAGAAAACAAGUUUAACAUAUUUGAUAACUAGGAAGUUUUACAUAUUUAUACCAUGAUUGAUUCUAUAUAGAAUUAUUAAAUAAUAAAGUAAUGCCAUAAUCUAAUUGGUCUUGUUAUUGACAUGUACUCACGCAUUCUAUAUUUCUAACUUUGUACAUUUUAUUGAUAUGUACAAAUUGUCAAUGUUUGCAGUGUCGUUGUUUGAAGUAACAACAAAGUAAAAUAGAGGUGAGAAAUUACCGGUGGGUGAUAGUAAUUGCAACCAUUCGAGAAUUUACCACUCGGACUCGAUGUAGGGAAUGUGAGAUAUCUUAUGCCAGUCUUCUCCUUCCCCCUCUCUAUAACGGUUUUCCAGAAGAGGACAUCUGUGAAUAAUCAAUUCCUGCAGCGUCGUCGUCCGAAGAAGGUAAUCCGGCAGCACCUUUAAUUUGGGGCAAUACCCAAUUUCCAAGGAAGAAAGACGUGGUAUGUCUGUUGUCUUGCGAUCUUCUAGAAUGGGCAGUUCUUCUAGAAGAUCACAAAAAUAAAUACGCAGUUCCUGCAGUGCCGUCGAUUGAAGAAGGUAAUCCGGCAGCGCCUUCAAUUUGGGGCAACCUCUAAUCCACAAGGAAGAAAGACGGGGCAUGAUGGAGAUGUUUUCCUUCCUCGUAAUCCUGUAAUUCCACUCUUCCAACUCUUCCAUUCCCCCAAUGUCGAGUGAUUUUAAUUUGGGAAAGGCAGUAACUGAUGAUGACGAUGAAGAUGAAGAUGGGUCAUCCUCACUGCUUUCUUCUAUUCCCAAAAACUCAUUACCCACUCUUUUUACACUUUUCAAAAUGUAUAGUUGGAGUUUUUCCAGAGGUAAUUUUCCCAAAGGAGGCAAAUGCUCACAGUUAAAACAAAACCAAAGAUUUAAUUCCCUUAGAUAGGUUAGUGAAGUCAACCAUUUGGGAAAAAUGUCGCCUCCGUAGAAACAAAUCUGUAAUUCCUCUACAUUCAAAUGCGGUUGUAAAGCUUCAAGAAGUUGUUUAUCUUUCUCAUUCUUCCUCCUCCCUUCUUCGCCUUCCCCAUCUACGACUCCAUCAAACACAAGAUGCAAACGAAGGAGGUUUUCCAUAUUGUGAAGUCCUAUUCUCUCAGCCUCAUCUAAAUGUGAUACAUUACUCAGCCCUUCUAUUCCACAUUUACGAAGGAGUUGAAGAUUUUUCAGAGAUUCAAGCCUACACGUGCUGCCGCCAUCAACACCUCCACCCACAACAAACUUUUCUAAUGUUCGAAGACUGGUUAAUUUGGAAAUCCCUAUUGGCAUGUACUUCAAUGAAUAAGUUUGACCAUUCAGUAAACUCCUCAUGUUCAUUAACUUCCCAAUCCCCGCUGGCAAUUCUCUAAGAUUUGGGCACCGCCUAAUAUCUAGCUUUCGUAAAUUAUAUAAUUCACACAAAGUCUCAGGCAGUCUCUCUAUACAUAAUUCAGAUAAAUUAAGAUAUUUUAAAUGUAUCAAUUUUCCAAUAUUUUCUGGAAUUUCUCUAAUGAAAUUUGGGCUAGGAUGAGAAAAUGAGGACAACUGUCUUAUAACUAAUGCCCUUAAACACGCCAAUUUACUAAAUAACCCCGGAAGGAUGCUACUACGAAGAGACGGACCUUUAUCAUAAAUUAAGAGGGUCCGCAAUCUAUUAAGUCCAUAAAUGGACAUAGGAAGUGGAGCGCCUCCUUCAAAAUUUAAUCCUAGGUGACAGACUUUGUCACCAAAAGAAUUUAUGACUGACUCUUUGUUACCAUCAAUUUCUAGCCACAAACAUUCUUUUCUACUUACAAAUUGGGCAAAAUCAUGUACUAUGUCAUGCAUUUUACACCUCAUAAACUCAUUAUCGCCACCGUAUGUUUCAAACUCUUGAAAGAAAGAGUGUGUUGCUAAGAUGUUGAAAUACUCUUCUCCAACCAUCUCCAUUUCUUCGUCUUCUUCUGCAUUAAGGUAACCUUGAGCCAUCCACAUAUCAAUCAAUUCCUUUUUAUGCAUAUAGUGGUCUUUUGGAAAGACAGCACAAUAUGAGAAACAUUGUUUUACCAUAGAAUUAGAGGGCAAAUCGUUAUAACUCAACAACAAAGGAGCCAAAAGACCUUUCCUAAUCUCUUCUACCUUCCACAUUUCACUCUCUAAAAUUCUUUGCCACUCUUUUACUGUACAUUUAGAGCGCAAGAGAUUCCCUAUUACCUUUACAGCAAGAGGCAGGCCUUUGCACUUGCGUGCAAUUUUUCGUCCGAUUGGUUCUAAUUUUUCACAAUCCUCGAAAGAGCGACCGAAAAAUGCCAACCGCUUGAACAACAACCAGCAUUCCUCUUCAGCUAGUUGUUCAAUGGAGAUAAUAUCUAACUCUAUUGUUCGCAUCAUACGUGCAACUGACUCAUUACGUGUGGUAACCACAAUUUUACUUCCAGGAAGACCAUUCUUUAGACAAAAGAAGAAUUGAUCCCAUAUAUUAUAAUUCCCAUCCCAUACAUCAUCUAAGACAAUAAAAAUUUUUUUUCCUUCAAUUGAUCUAUGGAUAUGGCUCAUAAGAGAUUGGAAUUCGCUUAAACCAGAAGCUUCUUUUGACUCGCCUAGUCCUUCAAUAAUUGCUUUGGCGACCCUCAUCUCAUCAAAAGUGUCUGAUACACACACCCAUAUAACUUUUUCAAAAUUUAUUUUCACCCCAUCAUUAUUAUAGGCUAGUUGUGCAAGAGUGGUUUUACCUAUACCCCCUAACCCAACCAGUGAGAUGAUAUGAGGAUGUUGUUCGCCACUCUCACCCAACAACUUACCUAACAGCUCAUUUUUCUCGUCAUCUCUACCAAAAAUCUCUCCCUCAUCAAUCAAGGAGGUGGUUGGCACUCGCUCUGAUUUCUUAACAUUGUUACUCACAUUCUCAACAAAUUUAAACAUAUCUUUUCGAGUGGCAAUACCAUCUAGCUUUUCACUGAUUUCGCUAAUCUUGACAGCAACAUCAUCACGAAGAAUGAGUUGUUUGAAACCACCUAAGUAGUUUGAGGCAGCACGAAAGAAGGAACAUACCUUCUUCUUAGGAGGAGCAAGAGCAAGAGCAUCGUCAUCAUCGCCGCCCUCAUCAAGCUGCAAUUUCCGUGUUUCAGUGAUCCACUCUUCCAACACAUCUUCCAUGUCGUAGGAUGCGUCUCUGAGCUGAUCCAGCCAAAGAGUAACAGCUUUGUCCUGCUUCAUUUGCCUCUGCUCUGCAUCUUACAGUACAGCUUGAAUGACUUGAAGAUUGGUAGUAAGCUUUCCCACUUCUUGUUCGACACCCGUCACAAGCCUCCACUUUUCUUUCACCUGAUCUUGAGCAAUGGAUUUCAGCUGGUCCAGGAGAGAGGAAACGAUCGCAUGAGCCAUUCAGAGGAAAGUAGGUUUUAUGUAUUCUGUGAGAAUGUUCAUUCAAGCAUGUUUGCAUUCUUCUUAUACCAUAUGAGAUAUUUAAUUUUUACCCUCGAGUCAAUGUCAAUAAUUGUACAGCGUCUGCCCUGUUUCUCUGAUUCAUAAUAAUUCAUUGUUAAUUCUGCAGAGUACACAGCGUCAGCACUUGUGAAAUUUCUUACAUUUGUAAAAUCAUGCAGCCGACCCUUGUGAACUAACUAAUUAACUAAAUUUUCUUACAUUGUCAAUAAGUUAUGAUUAUUGUGAAUUUUCCAUCCCCUAUAUAAAUUCUUAGAUUUAUUUAAAUUGUGAGUCAUAGAAGUAUAUUACCUAAAUUAUUUUAUCAGGCCAUGUUCCGAUACUAGGAGUAAGUACGGAAUUGGACUAAUUUUGUGAUUAUCUAUUUAUCUCAUAUUUGAUAAGCUUAAUUGAAUUGGAUUUAGGAACCAAAUUUAAAUUUAAUCCUAAAAUUAUGGAAUUGAUAAUCCUAAUUUACGCAUAACUUUAGUUGGGAUAAAAUUAAAGAAAAAAAGUUAUCCAUUUAUGAGACUUUAAUUUAUAUCAUUAUCGUUUAUUUAUGCUUAAUAUUUAUUUAUUUUUUUUAAUUUAUGAUUUACUUAAAAUUUAUUUUUAUUUAUUAUCUAUCAUCUGAUUAAAUUAGAACUUUACUUCUACUAACUCUUGAUAUUAAUUUUUCAUUACUUGCAUAUUUGAUAAUUUGUCAAUAAAAUUAACCAUUUAAUAAUUUAUUGCAUAAUAGAUUGUAUUAAACUUACUAAUCACUAAAAAAAUAUUUAAAAUCAUCAUGAAAAUUAAUAAUACCGUCAAUUAAUUGAUUUUAUAUACUUUUUUAAAUAUUUGAUAAAAAAUAAUUAAGUAUUUAAAUUUUUAUUUCAUUUUUUUAUUUGUUUAUUUUAUUAUGGAUACCCAAUAACUUGCAAUAUAAUUAAUUUUCUUAUUCAGACUACUCAGCAUCAGCUCCUAUAAAAUUUCUUACAUUAUAAGCAACAAAAUAUUUAUAAACUACAACAAAGGGCUUAAAUCAAUCCACCGAUUAACCUUUUGAAGUUAUAUAUAAUAUAUUAACUGUUGAUCUAGAAUAGUCUUAGUGGAUAGAUUUUUUUUAAUUAUAAAUAUCAAUAAAUUUUUUUUAUCGUUUAAUAGAUAUUGAUGAAAUUAUAUGGAGUAAUUUCGCCCAAUCAUAUAUAUUAUAACAAAAGUUGGAAAAGAGAAAAAUAAAACAAAAGUUGGAAAAAUCAUGCAGUCGUUGGGAAUUUCGAAAUUUGAGAAUUUUGCCCGUAGCUACAGGCUGCAGCGAUUUUUGACUUUCAUGAUGCAAACAAACCAAUCAUCAUUAAUUUCAAUAGAAAGAAGUAUUCUAGGUGGAAUUGAUUUCUGGAGCAGAAUAUGAUGUAUUUGGGACUUCCUACUCUAUUAGAUAGGUUAAUAACAUGUUAAUUGUCACAUCAUUAAUUUUAGAUUAUAAAUUUUAUAUUCAAACUUUGUAUGACUGCUCCUUUUUCAUUUGAAAAAAAAAAAAAAAAUUAACUUCUAGCAUGAUCUAAUUAAUUGAUCUUGUUUCAAAAGAAUCAAAAAAAUAAAUAAAAUAAAAUAAAGUAAUGCCAUAAUCUAAUUGGUCUUGUUAUUGACAUGUACUAAUGCAUUCUAUAUUUCUAACUUUGUACAUUUUAUUGAUAUGUUUCUCUUGAGAGAUAAGAAUCAUUAUGUGGCAAAAUUUUAUUAAAGCUGGGAUUAUUUAUGUUCUAAUACUUUGAACAUUAAUUUUUAAUCUACUCUUUAGAAUACAAAAAUAAUCCUUACCUAAACAUCUUUCAUAAAUGUUUUUUGCUGGGGCUGCUAAAAUUCAUAAUCUAAUAUUAGUUGAUGUGGCAUGUGUCCUAUCACAUAAAUGUAGAUAAUAAUAAUUAAUUCAUUAACAAAAUGAAAAAUGUUAGUUUACAAAAUACAAAUCCGAAUUUUUUGUGUGUUAGAGGGAAUUUAAAAGGGAGAGACUAAACAAAUGUGGUGACAAAUUACACGUAUUACCAAAAUUGAAAAUACAAAGUUUAGGCAACUGGAAACAUCUCUGUCAAUGGCAAUGAACCCAUUACCUCCAUUUAUAAUUAACCAAAAAUCAAAUAAAUUAAAAAAGAAAACACAAAGCAAGGAUAACUACUAGUUGUUUUGAUCAUCCCUGCUUCUUUUUCUUAGCAUAGCUCUUGUAAUGAAAAUUAACAAAAAGGGCCAAAAGGGAAGCAUUAAACACAGUAUUGAAGCACCAACCCCAAAACACAGGGAAACCAAAUCCCGUGAAAUGAUAAUUCAGCAUCAAAAUGAAAAAUGUUAUGGAUGGCUGUGAUGGGUCUGAGGAUGUGGGGUCCAAUGAGAGGUGAUGAUGAUGGUGAUGUUGAUGUUGAUGUGUGGUAGAGGAUGGAUGUGAGGGAGAGGUAAGUAAUGAUGGAGUGAAUGAGGAUGCGUGGGAAGGAAGCUAGGGUUUGGUUUUGAGUCCAUGUGAAGUUGAGGACUUGUGGGUGGCUUACAAGCAAUAUUGGAGUGUUAAGCUGAUUGAAUUUGAACAGUGCUACUCCAAUAACAUCAAUAUGGUUGAUGACCGCUCUAUCAAAUCCUUUGGAUAAAUGAAUUGACCGCUCUAAAAUAAAUGAAUGAGAUAGGAUAAAUUCGAAUAAAUUAAUCUGCAUAAUGACACAAGAAACAAAUAUAAAUUGACCGCAAGUAGAAAUAUACUUUUGUUAUAUUUAGAGCAUCUUCCAAUUUCUUUCCCUUGAGCUCUGUUUCUGCGAGUGCUCAAAAGCAAGACACAGGCCUCAAGAUAUAAUUAUCAUCAUCAAUCUUUUGCAGCCACAUGCAGUACUUGGAAAAUGUUUAUGGCCCUAAAUAACUGGAAAAUCAGAAAACAUUAAGAACAAGAGACUAAUCAUUUUAAUCGCAACAAAACAUGCACACUAUGAAAAUAUAAAAUUGAAUUACUUCGAAUGGAUGUGCCUCUUAACAGGAAUUGCACAAGCUAAUGAGCAAGUGAGCCUUCGAAUGAAAAUCUAAAUCCUUGCAGCCUGCGUCAUGCAGCUUCUCCCAAUGAGUAAGUGAACCUUGAACAGUUAUCACUCAGCUCAAACUAAAAUGAAAUUACUGUGGACAUGUGAAUUAAAAAUAGAUGUAAAAGUAGUUUUCUCAAAGCAAAGUCAAGAUAAGAGAUUAACUCUACUCCUUAUUUACAUUAAAAAUAACGAACAAUGGAAAACAGAGCUAGAGAAGAACUUACCUGUGCGUUGAGAUCAUGUGGGGAAUGUGAGAUAUCUUCUUAGAUUUGGUUUGGGAAACUCCAUCUUCUUCUGAAAGUUCUGACAGUUCCCUAAACCCAGGCCAAUACAAUUGCAACAGAAACUGCAUGCUUUAACCAGUAUCUGAUCAUCUCCUGUUAUUUCAAGACAAUAAUAACUUAAUUGCAACACUGCAUGCUUCAACCAAUAACCUUUUCGACUUCAACACUUCUUUUGUCCCCCACCCGAUGCCCUUUUCACAAUUCUAUGAAUCAGAUAAAUCAGCCUUCUUCACAAAACUAAAAUUUCGGUCCCCAUGUAGCAGAGUUUCUUAUUUUUCCUUUGUACACAAAUGCAGACACUUAAGCAAAUUAAGAUUUCUUACCUAAAGCAAAUUAGGAUUUCUUUUGAUCCUGCAAGUUACAAUUUCAGUCCCCAUGUAAUAGUAAAAAUUUGUACACAUAUUUAUAUAGCAAAUUAAUAUUUCAUACCUCACAAUAUUUAUCAUAACCAUCAAUCUUUAGAAACCACAUGCAGACUUGUUAAACUGUUUAUGGCCCAAAAUAACAGGAAAAUUAGAACAGAUUUUUAAGAAUGAGCGACUAAAUAUUUCAAUGGCAACUAAAAUUACACAUCUUGGAAAUCUGAAACUCAAGUACUCAGAACACUGUAAGUGCAUUGCAUAAUCUUGGGUAAAAAAUACACAGCAAUUAAACAAGCUGGGAACUUUAGUGCAAAUGCUUUUUCAUAAUCUUCAAUUGCAUAAGUCAGUUAGAAUCAAUCUUUCUUAAUCUUUCAAUUCACAUAUGAGAGCCUGAUAACACAAGGAAACACUGUAAGUGAAUUGUCAACUGUGACAAAUUUUGGGUAAAAAUUAUCAACUGUAGUUAUCUGCAUAACAUUUAGUGUCAACCCCAAAUUCCUUCCUGAUCCGUGGAAGCAUUUCAGCCCACAGACGGUUAGCUUUGUCAAUAUACGGCAACUCAGGAUUCUAUAUUUAAACUAUGAUGUUUGAUGACUUGCUGAUACAAAAGACAUUGCCCCAAGCACUUUUUUACAUUAGCUAAAAUCAAGCCAGUCACUUCCAUUUGUUGCAGUUUUAAUGCAGAAAGAAAAAAGGGGGAAAAAAAUCUGCAAGAUGCCACUUGUAAUACCGCAUGUUCGCAGGAGCAGAGUUAAAUAAUUACAAAAUUACAUUCUUUAUUGGCCACAAAGCUGCCUAGAAAAAGGCUUUAAAUUCUUAAUGAGACAACGUAUUCGAACAAAUAUGGUGAAUGAAGAGACAAAGGCAUAACACCUCGGGAAGUAAAGCUCUGUUUCUGUAUGUGCUCAAACCAAUGGAAACCCAUGGAAAUGAAUUUCUACGAAUUAGACAUGUCAGCCAAAACAGGUACUCUGUACAAGCAAAGUAAAAGAGAGUUACAAAAAAUUUUAAGAUAAUUAAACUUUUAGUCACCAUAUAAUUAAUAGAAAACUUUGUACACAAUGAUUUAUAUGAGAUUAAGAUUGUAUACCUAAGUUUUAAUUGCAAACUAAAUAUACACAACAUGAUAUUAGCAUUAGAAGACUGCACCAAAACGCACCGAAUUGAAUGUACCUCUUAACGGCCAUUGUACAUGCAUUGAAAGUUUACCGCAAAAGCUGUUUCAAACGUGAUGCAUCUUAGAGAUGCAAGAUGAGAAAUUGUUAUUACAACUAGCAUUGAAACAUGUGUGAAAACUGUUAAUGGACCUAAAUAACUUGAAAAUCAGAAAAGAUUAGGAAUGAGUGACUAAGCCUGCUAAUCGCAACUAAACGUGCAAACCUUGAAAAUCCAAAAUUGUACUCGAUGAAUGUGCAAUUGCUCAAGCAGGUAAAUUUCCUGCAAAGGCUCUUACAAACCCUCAAAGAUGAUACUCUACAUACCAUGGUAACCUGAGUAACAAAAAGAAACACAGUGAAUAUUAAAGGGCAUUCUGACAAUGCAAAUUUGUGUAAAUUAACAACUGCGGUUACCUGCAUAAUAGUGUCAAUACCGAAUUCCUUCCUCCAUGGAAGCAUGUGAUCAGCCCACAUGUGCUUUGCUCUGUAGCUUUUGAAUACCUGAAAUUGUUAUCACAACCAACGGUGAAAAAUGGGUGAAAAAAGGGUAAUAGUAGCAUAAUUGAAUUUGCUUAUAGAGGAUAAACCGAUCAAAGAAAAAAACAAGACAGAAAUGAUGAUCUUAGUACCUUAAUAUCAUGCAAUAAUAAUCAUCAUGCCUUCUAGGCAGCUAUCCAUCCUCAAUUGAAACAGAGCAGACCUGGCCAUCACUUUCUUCUUCAAAGUCCAGCAACUGAACGUUGCACACAACACCACAGUGGAAGUUCCAUCACCAGCCUAAUCCUUGAUUACCCCAAUGUUCUCCAUAGGGUCUUCAAAGUCAACCUAAAAAUAAAAUGAAAAUGCAAUGCAUUAUUAUUAGGGAUCUAGUGCUUGAGCUUGCUUUGACAUCAUGGUAUUAGCAAAUUCUGAUAUAGCCAAAAUGGUGAAUAAGAUGACGUACUUGAUAAGAAAAACCUGAUUUAACAAAUAAUUAAGGAGCCGGUAACAAUCACAGAAUCUCAUCAUGUGGGGAACGCCUUGGCAACAGAAGAUGGUGCUUUCAUUCAAGCAAUAGCAACUUUCCAAUUUCAUAAGGUAGUUUAAUGGCCCUUUUAAGAACAUCUGCACCAGCCUAAUAAUUAUUCAUGGAAAUUAAUAAUCAGAAUCAUGUUAGAUUGAGAGAUGAAACAUAAUAAGCGAUUUGGCCACCAUAUAUGCAUUUAUCACCUUCAAUUUGCUCAUCUUUGUCUAGAGUAUUGCUUCUGCAUUAACUUAAUUAGCUUGCAAGCCACCUGAACAUGGUUUUAAAUAAAGUGUAAGAGCUCGAAUUCGAACGAAUUAAUCAAAUAUGCUGACAGGAGAAACAAAAGUAAAUAACCACAAGAAGUAGAAAUAUACUUUUGUUAUAUUCAGAGCAUCUUCUUGCGUCAAGUUCUUUUCCUUUAGCUCUGUUUCUGUUUGUGCUCAAACGCAAUGGCUCAAGGGCCAAGAUAAUUUUAUGACCAUCAAUCUUUUUGCAGCCACAGCAGACUUGAAAAAAUGAUUGUGGCCCUAAGGAACUUGAAAAUUAGAAAAGAUUCAGAAUGAGUGACUAAAUAUUAUAAUUGAAACUAACUAAACAUUAUAAUCGAAACUAAUUAAACGCCUAGAAAAUCUGAAACUGAGCAAUUGCUUCUGGUGGAAACUUUACUGCAAGGACUUUCUCAAACCCUUGAAGAUCACACUCUACCUGAUAACAAAGAAACAGUCAAUAUACGAAGAUGAUUUUACUAACAAGUGAGUGCUUACACAUAUUGGAAGGAUAAUGAUGAUUCAUAACCCAAAUCCCCAAUACUCCCUAUUAUCUCACUCAAGUUCGAGCUCCCAGAAUUCACUACUGUGAAGCUCUCACAACAAAAUUCCCUUCAAAGAUUCUCUACUCAAAUUUGAUGAUGAUGUCCCUCCAAAGGAGGCAAAAAAUCUAACACUGAUCAAAUUGGUUUGUGAACAAUUAAUCUUCCUGGCCAUCAUGCAUACCAGGUGUGGUGAGCAAUCUUCAUUAUGACAUUUGCCUUAAUAAGCAGCUUAGUUUCCUUAACCUGAUAACUUACACAAACAAAAACAACUUGAUUAAAGUUUAAUAUUUAGAGGCAGAACAGUAAAGAAGAUGAUAUAUAUUGAUACUAAAAUUUGACCUGUGUUAUCCUGACGUCAAGAAUCACAGCAUCUCAUGUGGGCAGAAUCUUCGCAGUACAAUAUGCUUGCAAAAUUGAAGCAGCAUCUUAUCACCUGUAAUUUAAUUAAGACAAUAACUUUCCCCAACCAUUUCAAUGCAUUAUUGCCAACUAAAUUCAGAGGGUGCUAAUUAAAUAGCCUUUGAACAAUAUAUUCUUAUUCUUCUCCAAUCUAACAAUUAUUUCGAAAAUCUAAAUGACAAUCACGCAUCGAUGGCAUCAAAAUUUGGCUACAAAGCAGCCUGGAAAAGGCUUUACUCUCUGAAUGAGAGCAUGAAUUCGAAACAAAUAUGAUGAAUGAAGAAAAUAAGGCAUAAUACCACCAAAAGUAAAACUUUCUCCCAGGGCUCUAUGUUUCUGUUUGUGCUAAAACCAAUAGAAACCGAUGGAAAUGAAUUUCUAGGAAUUAGACAUAUCAGCGAAAACAGGUAUUCUGUACAAGCAAAGUAAAAUAGGGUUACCAAAAUUUUUAAGAUUGAUAUGAUACUUGAAAAAUAGGUUUGCACAGAAUUAAUUAUUCUGUCAUUGAGAUUGUUCUUUUAUAGAGAUUUCCAGCGCACAUAAAACUAUUAAAUCAGUAAACUAAAUCACUGAUUUAAGGAAAGAAUAAUUUCUAGGUAGAUUUUCCUAAAAUACAUAGAUUUGCACCUAAAUAGCUAUGUUACAGCUAAUGACUAAUUUACAGCACAUAUUUUUUCUAAUUUUCUAACACUCCCCCUCGAGCUGGUUUGAAGAUAUCCUCCAUAGCCAGCUUGCCAACUAGAAAAUUGAACUGUUUUGUGUGUAGUCCUUUGGUAAAGACAUCAGCCACUUGUUCUCCAGUAGGAAUGUGCUCCAUAUGAACCAAUCCAUUAUCUAUCUUCUCCUUGAUGAAAUGCUUGUCAAUCUCCACAUGUUUUGUGCGGUCAUGAAGGACUGGAUUGUGUGCUAUUGAGAUUGCUGCCUUGUUGUCACAGUACAACUACAUAGGAGAUGAUUUUGUCGCUUUUAACUCUUCCAACAGCCUCCUAAUCCACAUGAUCUCACAAAUGCCAUGGGUUACAGCUCUAAAUUCAGCCUCAGCACUGCUCCUAGCUACCACAUUCUGUUUCUUGCUUCUCCAAGUAACCAAAUUACCACCUACAAAUGAACAGUAUCCAGAAGUGGAUCUUCGGUCUACUUUGCAGGUAAAUUUACUGCAAAGGCUCUUACAAGCCCUCAAAGAUGAUAUUCUACAUACCAUGGUAACCUGACUAACAAAAAGAAACACAGUGAAUAUUAAAGGGCAUUCUGACAAUGCAAAUUUGUGCAAAUUAACAACUGCGGUUACCUGCAUAAUAGUGUCAAUACCGAGUUCCUUCCUCCAUGGAAGCAUAUGAUCAGCCCACAUGUGCUUUGCUCUGUAGCUUUUGAGUACCUGAAAUUGUUAUUACAACCAGCGGUGAAAAUUGGGUGAAAAAAUGGUAAUAUUAGCAUAAUUGAAUUUGCUUAUAGAGGAUAAACCGAUCAAAGAAAACGACAAGAUAGAAAUGAUUAUCUUAGUACCUUAAUAUCAUGCAAUAAAAAUCAUCAUGCCUUCCAGGCAGCUAUCCAUCCUCAAUUGAAACAGAGCAGACCUGGCCAUCACUUUCUUCUUCAAAGUCCAGCAACUGAACGUUGCACACAACACCACAGUGGAAGUAGUUCCAUCACCAGCCUAAUCCUUGAUUACCCCAAUGUUCUCCAUAGGGUCUUCAAAGUCAACCUAAAAAUAAAAUGAAAAUGCAAUGCAUUAUUAUUAGGGAUCUAGUGCUUGAGCUUGCUUUGACAUCAUGGUAUUAGCAAAUUCUGAUAUAGCCAAAAUGGUGAAUAAGAUGAUGUACUUGAUAAGAAAAACCUGAUUUAACAAAUAAUUAAGAAGCCGGUAACAAUCACAUAAUCUCAUCAUGUGGGGAAUGCCUUGGCAACAGAAGAUGGUGCUUUCAUUCAAGCAAUAGCAACUUUCCAAUUUCAUAAGGUAGUUUAAUGGCCCUUUUAAGAACAUCUGUACCAGCCUAACAAUUAUUCAUGGAAAUUAAAAUUCAGAAUCAUAUUAGAUUGAGAGAUGAAAUAUAAUAAGCGAUUUGGCCACCAUAUAUGCAUUUAUCACCUUCAAUUUGCUCAUCUUUGUCUGGAGUAUUGCUUCUGCAUUAACUUAAUUAGCUUGCAAGCCACCUACAAAUGGUUUUAAAUAAUGUGUGAGAGUGUGAAUUCGAACGAAUUAAUCAAAUAUGCUGACAGGAGAAACAAAAGUAAAUAACCACAAGAAGUAGAAAUAUACUUUUGUUAUAUUCAGAGCAUCUUCUUGCGUCAAGUUCUUUUCCUUUAGCUCUGUUUCUGUUUGUGCUCAAACGGAAUGGCUCAAGGGUCAAGAUAAUUUUAUGACCAUCAAUCUUUUUGCAGCCACAUGCAGACUUGAAAAACUGGUCGUGGCACUAAGGAACUUGAAAAUUAGAAAAGAUUCAGAAUGAGUGACUAAAUAUUAUAAUCGAAACUAAUUAAACAUACACGCCUAGAAAAUCUGAAACUGAACUUCUCAAAUGUAUAUGCCUCUUCGCAGCAAUUGCUUGUGGUGGAAACUUUACCGCAAGGACUUUCUCAAACCCUUGAAGAUCACACUCUACCUGAUAACAAAGAAACAUAGUCAAUAUACGAAGAUGAUUUUACUAACAAGUGAGUGCUUACACAUAUUGGAAGGAUAAUGAUUACUCAUAACCCAAAUCCCCAACACUCCCUAAUAUCUCACUCAAGUGAGUACGAGCUCCCAGAAUUCACUACUGUGAAACUCUUACAACAAAAUUCCCUUUAAAGAUUCUCUACUCAAAUUUGAUGAUGAUGUCCCUCGAAAGGAGGCAAAAAAUCUAACACUGAUCAAAUUGGCUUGUGAACAAUUAAUCUUCCUGGCGAUCAUGCAUACCAGGUGUGGUGAGCAAUCUUCAUUCUGACAUUUGCCUUAAUAAGCGGCUUAGUAUCCUUAACCUGAUAACUUACACAAACAAAAACAACUUGAUUAAAGUAUAAUAUUUAGAGGCAGAACAGUAAAGAAGAUGAUAUAUAUUGGUACUAAAAUUUGACCUGUGUUAUCCUGACGUCAAGAAUCACAGCAUCUCAUGUGGGCAGAAUAUUCGCAGUACAAGAUGCUUGCAAAAUUGAAGCAGCAUCUUAUCACCUGUAAUUUAAUUAAGACAAUAACUUUCCCCAACCAUUUCAAUGCAUUAUUGGCAACUAAAUUCAGAGGGUGCUAAUUAAAUAGCCUUUGAACAAUAUAUUCUAAUUCUUCUCCAAUCUAACAAUUAUUUGGAAAAUCUGAAUGACAAUCAUGCAUCGACGACAUCAAAAUUUGGCUACAAAGCAGCCUGGAAAAGGCUUUACUCUCUGAAUGAGAGCAUGAAUUCGAAACAAAUAUCAUGAAUGAAGAAACAAAGGCAUAAUACCACAAAAAGUAAAACUUUUCCCAGGGCUAUCUGUUUCUGUUUGAACUAAAACCAAUGGAAACCGAUGGAAAUGAAUUUCUAGGAAUUAGACAUAUCAGCCAAAACAGGUACUCUGUACAAGCAAAGUAAAAUAGGGUUACAAAAAAUUUUAAGAUUGAUAUGAUAAUUAAAAUUUCAGUCACCAUAUAAUUAAUAGAAAACUUUGGACACAAUGAUUUAUUGCAUAUUAAGAUUGCUAUAUAAAAUAUAAUAUUAGCAUUAGGAGACCGCACCGAAGCAUACCGAAUUGAAUGUGCCUUUUCACAGCCAUUUUACAAGCUUUGAAGCUUCACCACAAAUGCUUUUUCCAACCCGUGAACAUGGUGCACCCGAGAGAUGCAAGCUAUGAAAUUGUUACUACAGCAAGCGUUGGAACAUUUGUUAAAAAAGGAAGUUUAUGAAAAUACGCCUUUGGAUACCAGUCUUCAGGAAUCAAUUCAUCCGUAAUAACAAUUUUCAAGAAUUAUCAACUGCUUUAAGCUCAUCGACAUCACAAAGAUCUCAACUAAAAUAGAGCAGAUCCGGCCAUCACUAUCCCUUCUACUGCUCUUUUCCUUUAGAGAAUGAUUGAAUUACAGAAUGCGUGUAAGGCAUUCUUAUUCAAGGUCCAAUGAUCAAACCUUGCACUAUAACAACAGAGGUAGUAGUUUCUUCGCCAGCCUAAUCCUUGGUCUCAGGAAUGUCCUCAACAGAGUACUCGAAAUCAACCUAAAAAUUAAGAAUGAGUUGGAAAACUGUUUAUGGCCCUAAAGAACUUGAAAAUAAGAAAAGAUUAAGAAUGAGUGACUAAACAUUUAAUCGCAACUAAACAUACAAACCUUGAAAAUCUAACUUUGAAGUACUCUUGAAUGAAUGAGCAGUUGCACGAGCUGGUGACAACUAAGGUUACUGUGAAGUCUCUUACAAAUCCUUAAAGAUGAUACUUUACAUACCACGAUAACCUGAUAACACAUAGGAACACAAUAAACAUUAAAGUGUAUUCUGACAAUGCAAAUUUGUGGAAAUCAUCAGCUGUGGUUACCUGGACAAUAUUGCCAACACCAAACUCCUUCCUCAAUUGAAACAUAUGAUCAGCCCACAAAUGCUUUGCUUUGUAGCUUUUGAGAGCCUGAAAUUGUUAUCACAACCAACAAUGAAAAUUGGGUGAAAAAAUUGAUAAUAUUAGCUUAAUUCCAUAUGUUUAUAUAGGAUAAACCGAUCAAAGAAUGAAAAAAGAUAGAAACAGAGCAGACCCAGCCAUCACUUUCUUCUUCAAAGUCGCACCAUAACCACAGUGGUAGUCGUUCCACUGCCAGCCUAAUCCUUGGUCACCCCAAUGUUCUCCAUGAAGUAUUCAAAGUCAACCUAAAAAUAAAUAAAAAUGCAAUGCAGGUGGAAAUGAAAAUUCUAUAAAUUAAAUAAAAUAAAAAUGCAAUGCUUGAGCUUGAGCUUGCUUUAGCAUCAUCGUAAUAGUAAAUUUUGAUAUAUCUUUACUUCUCUGUUCUUGUUUAUUCACAACAAGAUAUCAAUAGAAGAAGAUGGAAAUGAAAUUCUAUAAAAUAAAGCAAGUGAAUUACCAACAGAACAUUUUAGCAAUCCUUUGGCUAAACUUUUCAUUUUCUUAGCAUACUCUCCUGCCUGGUGAACAUAAUUAAACAAGUAUGAAAUAAAACAAAGUGGGCUAAUGUAGUAAAAACAAUAACACAAUUACUUUAAAGAAUUAAUGUCACGUAUAUUAUAUAUAAAAAAAUACGAUUAUCAUUAUAUAAGAUAAAAUUGAUAAUUUAGUUUUCAACAUUACUGCAAACGUAUCACAGAGAUUUUGUUACACAUAACAAAUUUUCGUACAUAUGAAAAUAAAUUACAUUGCAUGAAAUUUUACAAAAGAGCACAUAUUUUUUAAAAGUAAAUAAAUAUAGAAAUUUCAACAGACUACACUUGUAUUUUUUUUUAAUUAUUUAAUCUUUAGAAAACAAGUUUAACAGAUUUGAUAACUAGGAAGUUUUACGUAUUUAUACCAUGAUUGAUUCUAUAUAGAAUUUUAAUUCAAAAUAUAAUUAUUUUUAUUAAUUUCAUUGCAAGCAACAACGAAGUAAAUUAGAGGAGGAGGAGAAAUUACCGGCGAGUGAUAAAUUACCGCGACCACUUGAUGUGGGGAAUGCGAGAUAUCUUAUGCCAGUCUUCUCCUUUCCCCUCUCUAUAACGGUUUUCCAGAAGAGGACAUCUGUCAAUAGUCAAUUCCUGCAGCGUCGUCGUCCGAAGAAGGUAAUCCGGCAGCACCUUUAAUUUGGGGCAAUACUCAAUUACCAAGGAAGAAAGACGUGGUAUGUCUGUUGUCCUGUGAUCUUCUAGAAUGGGCAGUUCUUCCAUAUUUGCACAAAAAGAAAUCCUCAGUUUCUGCAGUGCCGUCGUUCGAAGAAGGUAAUCCGGCAGCGCCUUCAAUUUGUUGCAAGAACGAACUUCCAAGGAAGAAAGACGGGGCAUGAUAGAGAUGUUUUCCUUCCUCGUAAUCCUGUAAUUCCACUCUUCCAAUUCUUCCAUGUCCCAAAUUAUGAGUGAUUUCAAUUUGGGGAAGGCAGUAACUGAUGAUGAUGAUGAAGAUGAAGACGGGCCAUCCUCACUGCUUUCUUCUAUUCCCAAAAACUCAUUACCCACUCUUUUUACACUUUUCAAGUACCAUAGUUCGAGUUUUUCCAGAGGCAAUUUUCCCAAAGGAGGCAAAUGCUCACACUUAAGGCACGAGCGAAGAUAUAAAUUCCUUAGAUUGGUCAGUGAAGUCAACCAUUUGGGAAAAAUGUUGCGUCCAUAUAAUAUAAUCCCUAAUUUCUCUACACUCAAAGGCGGUUGUAAGGCUUUAAGAAGUUGUUCAUCUUUCUCUUUCUUCCUCCUCCUUUCUUCAUCUUCCCCAUCUACGACUCUACCAAACUCAAGACGCAAACGAAGGAGGUUUUGCUGAUUGUAAAGUUGUAAUCUCUCGACCUCAUCUAAACGGGACACAUUACCCAGCCCUUCAAUUCCACAUUCUCGAAGGAGUUGAAGAUUUUUCAGAGAUUCAAGCCUACAAGUAUUGCUACCAUCAACACCUCCACCCACCACAAACUUGUCUAAUGUUCGAAGACUGGUUAAUUUGGAAAUCCCUACUGGCAUGUAUUUCAACGAAUAAGUUUCAGCAUUCAGUAAACUCCUCAUGUUCUUUAACUUCCCAAUCCCCGCUGGCAAUUCUUUAAGAUUUCGGCACCGCCUAAUAUCUAGCUUUUGUAAAUUAUAUAAUUCACACAAAGUCUUAGGUAGUCUCUCUAUGCCUAAUUCAGACAAAUUAAGAUAUCUUAAAUGUAUCAAUUUUCCGACAUUUUUUGGAAUUUCUCUAAUCAAACUUGAGUGAAGACGAACAGGCGAGGAUGAUAGCCUUAUAACUAAUGAUUCCCUUAUAACUAAUGCCCUCAAACAUGCCAAUUUACUAAAUAACUUUCGAGUUUCUCUAAUCUUAUAUGUGUUUGGACAAAAACAUAGGCGCAACAGCCUUAUAACUAAUGCCCUUAAACAUUCUUUGCUACUACUAAAAGACGAAAGGAUGCUACUAAGAGACAGAUUGAAAUCACUUCUAUCAUAAAUUAAAAGGGUACGCAAUCUAUCAAGUCCACGAAUGGAUAUAGGAAAUGAAGUGCCUCUUUGAAAAUUUAACCCUAAGUGACGGACUUUGUCACCAAAAGAGUUUAUGACUGAGUCUUUGGUACCAUUAAUUUCUACCCACAAACAUUCUUUUCUACUUACAAAUUGGGCAAAAUCAUGUAUUAUGUCAUGCAUCUUGCAGCUCAUAAUAUCAUCAUCAUCAUCUUUUUUAAACUCUUGAAAGAAAGAGCGUGCUGCUAAAAUGUUGAAAUACUCUUCCCCAAUCAUCUCCAUCUCUUCGUCUUCUUCUGUAUUAAGAUAACCUUGAGCCAUCCAUAGUGAAAUUAGUUCCUCUUUAUUCAUAUUGUAGUUUUUUGGAAAGACAGCACAAUAUGAGAAACAUUGUUUUACCAUAGAAUUGGAGGGCAAAUCGUUAUAACUCAACAACAAAGGAGCUAAAAGACCUUGCCCAAUUGCUUCUACUUUCCACAUUUCACUCUCUAAAAUUCUUUGCCACUCUUUUACUGUACUUUUAGAGCGCAAGAGAUUCCCUAUUACCUUUGCAGCAAGAGGCAGGCCUUUGCACUUAUGUGCAAUUUUGCGCCCGAUUGGUUCUAAUUUUUCACGAUCCUCAAAGGACCUACGUAGAAAUGCCAUCUGCUUAAACAGUAACCAACAUUCCCCUUCUCCCAACUCCUUGACAGGGAUAAUAUCUAUUGAUCCCAACUGUAGUGCAACUGACCUAUCACGUGUGGUAAUUAGAAUUUUACUUUCAUGGUGGCCAUUCUUUAGACAAGAAAAGAAUGGGUCCCAUUUUUUGUAAUCUACAUCCCACACAUCAUCUAAAACAAGAAAAAACUUUUUUCCUUCAAUUGAUGUAUGGAUAUGGCUCAUAAGAGAUUGGAAUUCGCUUAAAUCAUAAGCUUCUUUUGACUUGCCUAGACCUUCAAUGAUUGCUUUGGCAACCCUAAUCCUCUCAAAAGUGUCUGAUACACACACCCAUAUAACUUUUUCAAAAUUUCUUUUCACCUCAUCAUUAUUAUAGGCCAGUUGUGCAAGAGUGGUUUUACCUAUACCCCCUAACCCAACUAGUGAGAUGAUAUGAAGGCCUUCUUGUUGUUCACUACUUUGACACAACAACUUGCUUAAGAGCUCAUCUUUCUCAUUAACUCUACCGCAAACCUCUCCCUCAUCAAUCAAGGAGGUGGUUCGCACUCGCUCUGGUUUCUUGACAUUGUUACUCACAUUCUCAACAAAUUUAAACAUAUCUUUUCGAGUGGCAAUACCAUCUAGCUUUUCAUUGAUUUCCCUAAUCUUGACAGCAAUGUCAUGACGAAGACUGAGUUGUUUGAAACUGCCACAGCAGUUUGAUACAGCACAAAAGAAGGAACGUACCUUCUUCUUAUGAACGCCCUCAAUCUGCAAUUUGAGCCUUGCAGUGGUCCACUCCUCCAACACAUCUUCCAUGUCGUAAGAUGCGUCUUUGAGCUGAUCCAGCCAAAAAGUAACAUCUUUCUCGUGCUGCAUUUGCCUUUUCUCUGCAUCUUCCAGCACAAGUUGAAUGGCUUGUAGAUUGCUGGUGAGCUUUUUCACUUCUUCGUCGACACCAGUAACAAGCCUCACCUGUUGUUUCAGUUCAUCAGUUGCAACUGAGCUCAGCUGCUCCAGGAGAGAGGAAACGAUCGCAUCAACCAUUCUGACAAAGAAGAUGAGAAUUCUGAAGAGUUAUUAGAUGUGCUUUUGUUGCGAAGAUAUGAAAGAAAGGAGUUAUUGCAUUCUUUUAUACUGCAUAGAAAAGGUUUAUGCUUAUCCCCACCCCACACGUCAAUGAUUGUAGAAUGUUUAAUUUCCCUGAUUCUACUCCACUAGUUGUGAUGCGUAAUUAUAAAUAUUCUCAAGUUAUGUAUGAAAAUCCCACAAAUUUGGAUCUAGUAAUGAUUUUUAUGUAUUUUUUCAUAAUCUUCUAAAAUACUAUAUCUGCAUGUUAUUUCGUGCAGAAAUAUGGCAUUGGGUGAAAAAAGUUAUGCUUAUCCCCACCCACACGUUAGUAAUUGUAGUAGCAUCUGUAAUUUCCAUGAUUCUACUCCACGGACGAACACAUUUUUUGUACUAACAUCUUUAAAUUCCCACACGUUAGGAAUUUGGCACAUAAUCUCAAACUCGUCGCAUCUUUAACGUAUGAGGUUGAUGAAUAAAUUCUUUUCUCAUAUCAAUUUAAAACUCCGAGAUUAUGUGCCAAAUUCCUAACGUGUGGGAAUUUUACCUCCUAAGUAAUCCGGCCCACUGCCAAGUGCCAACUUUUUCUCUGUCGAGUUAAUGAUGUUGUUUUGUUUUCCUUGUUUUAAUUAAUGUUGCGGAGAGAAACAGAUCGAUGCAAAUGGCUAGCCAGGUUUUGCAGAAACCGUGAAUGGUCUUGCAUGCAUGUGACAUAAAGCUUUAUAUAUAGCUUAUUCCUCCAUCAACAUUUCAAUGGUUCCAUCUCACGUGCACUUGGCUAUGAAUAAGGUCCAUGCAUGGAUCGAUCGAUUUAGGAGUUUGGACCAUCUCAUGCUGCAGAGUUAUGUGUCAUGUAUGUGUGUUGACACUUGCCAGUUCAUUUUUGUUAUAAAGAUUAUUGAUACUCGUAAAUGUACUACUUACAAAUCAUAAAUUUUGAGUUUGACACUUUAGUUUCAUUUUGUAAUCCCUACGCUCUUUAAAUAUUUGUAAUAAUAUAUUUCAAACUUUAACUCAGACGUAAUGAAUGAAGGGGGAUCCUCUUCUUAUAUAAAUUUUUAUUUUUUAACGUUCAAGUUACAUUUGAUUACGUGUACUUAUUAUCUAGUUUUGACUAUCUAAUGACAUUUGAUUACGUGUACUUAUUAUAUGAUUUUUUUUUAAAUGAUGGGUCUGGUGAGAUUUUUUACAUCUUGGAUUAGUAGGUCAAGAACGGGCAGGGCAGGGCCUUCUCUGAAGUCAAUCUUGUGAGCAACACCAGCUUUUUGGAUAAUUGGCAGCCCCAAUUCAUAAUUUUCUCAGUUGAUGUCCAUGGCCAAAAUCUGCAACCGAAGCUUAUUCUACUCUUAUUAAUCGAGAGAUAAUUUUAUCUCUAACUAAUUUAAUUGGGAGGAAAAUUGAGAGAGAUAUCCACUCUGUCCUUAUUAAUUGAGAGAUAAUUUUACCCUUACCCAAUUUAAUUGGAAAGGAAAUCGAAUUCCAACAAUAACUAGGACUUGAAUCCAUGCACUUAAGCUAACUUUAAGUUUUAGGAUGCAUGGUUAUAAUGUUCUUUAUUUAAAUCCUAACAAAUGGUGGGACUUGAACUUGUGCCUACAAACAUUGAGUGCUUAGGGGCUGCAAAAUUUCAUAACUUAAUUUUAGUUGAUGUGGUAUGUGCCCUAUCACAUAAAUAUGUAGAUAAUAAUAAUUAAUACAUUAACAAAAUGAAAAAUAUUAGUUUACAAAAUACAAAUCCAAAUUUUUUGUGUGACAAGGGACUUAAAAGGGAGAGACUAAACAAAUGUGGUGAAAACGACAUGUAUUACUAAAACUAAAAAUACGAAGUCUAGGCAAUUGAAAACAUCGGGUUUUUUAUUUAAAUAUCCCCAAUUUGUCCUUAAAUACCAAAUUUAUACCCUAUUAUAUACAUAUACCUCACGAAGAUAGGGAAAAUAAAAAAUAACCUUAAAAAAAUCAAGAAUCCACACAUUUCUUCCUCUCAGUGCAGGAAGAUGUCGAGUACGAAGUCGGGUAAGUCGAGAAUUUAGUCGAGCAAGAAUUGGAGAUAAGUAAGUUGAGUAUAUGGUCCAGUAGGAAGUUGAGUAAGCAUAUUAAAUGAGUCCAGUAUUAAGUGGUAGAGUAUUAAGUAAAAGUCAAGUAAAUUUUUUAAACAAGUCAAAUAAAAUUUAUGUAAUUUUUAAAGAGGUUGAGUAUUAAGUCGGGUUAGUACAUUGGGUCGAGUGUUAAUAUUUUUAAAGAAGUGAAGUCUGGUAAGUUGAGCAUUCAGUCGAGUAAGAAGUUAAGGCAAUUGAAUAAGUCGAGUCUCUAGUCGAGUACGAAGUCGGGUAUAAAGUCUGGUAAGUUGAGCAUUCAGUCGAGUAAGAAGUGAAGGCAAUUGAAUAAGUCGAGUGUCUAGUCGAGUACGAAGUUGGGUAUGAAAUCUGGUAAGUUGAGCAUUCAGUCGAGUGAGAAGUGAAGGCAAUUGAAUAAGUCAAGUAUCUAGUCGAGUACGAAGUCGGGUAUGAAGUAUGGUAAGUUGAGCAUUCAGUUGAGUAAGAAGUGAAGGCAAUUGAAUAAGUCGAGUACGAAGUCGGGUAUGAAAUAUGGUAAGUUGAGCAUUCAGUCGAGUGAGAAGUUAAGGCAAUUGAAUAAGUCGAGUAUCUAGUUGAGUACGAAGUCGGGUAUGAAGUUUGGUAAGUUAAGCAUUUAAUCGAGUAAGAAGUGAAGGUAAUUGAAUAAGUCGAGUAUCUAGUUGAUUACGAAGUCGGAUCUGAAGUCUAGUAAGUUGAACAUUCAGUUGAGUAAGAAGUGAAAACAAUUGAAUAAGUCGAAUAUCUAGUCGAGUAAAAAGUCGAGUAAGUAGAUUGAAUGAGUAGGGUAUUAAUUUUUUGUUGGCAUUUUAUUGAGGCUAUUUUUGUACUUUCUUUGGUUUUUUAAGUAUGUAUAUGCAAAGUACAGAUUUUAAUAGAUGGAUGUAUAUUUUGGGUAUUACGAGAGAAACGGGGUAUAUCCCACGCAAUUCCUUCGAAAACAUCUCUGUCAAUUGCAAUGAACAGAUCACAACCCUUCAUAAUUAAACAAAAUCAAACUUGAAAAAAAAAAUCACACACACACACACAAAACAAUCACAAAAACUAUUUGUUCUGAUCAUCCCUGCUUUUUUUUAGCGUAGCUCUUGGAAUGAAAAUUAACAAAAAGUGUCAAAAGAGAAGCAUUAAACACAGCAUUGAAGCACCAGCCCAAAAUCCCAGAGCAACCAAAUCCCGUAAAAUGAUAAUACAGCAUCAAAACCGAAACAACAAAACUAAACACAAACUGAACAAUCUAACAAUCAGUGACCAAUCUCUUCCACUUUGGCCGCAACCCCAUCACACACAAUAGAUAGUACCCGUACAUGAUCACAUGCACACUUGCAUUAGUCACAAGUGCAAUAGGAAACAAAGACUGCUUCGUCUGUAACCAAAGGUAGCACAUUACGACGACGGUUGCAUGGUGGUAGACGUGGAGGAACGUGAGCCAUUGGAUGGAUUUUGACAAAAUGAUCAAAAGGGUGUCUAAGAAUUCGAGUAUUUUGGAGAGGUAGAAGAGGUAAGCGUAGAAGAAGAGGGGGCCAGACGGAGAAAUGGUGGGGGGGAAACAGAGGGUGUAAUGGAGGUGGGGCAAAUGGACGAUGAUGGAGAGAGUGCAGCCAACGGCCAUGAUGAGGGAGAGGAGGAGGAGGGUGAGGUUAUGGACGGCUGUGAUGGGCUUGAGGAUGUGGGGUCCAAUGAGAGGUGAUGAUGAUGGUGAUGUUGAUGUUGAUAUGUGGUAGAGGAUGAAUGUGAGGGAGAGGUAAGUGAGGAUGGAGAGAAUGAGGAAGUGUGGGGAAGAAGCUAGUGUUUGGUUCUGAGUCCAUGUGAAGCUGAGGAUUUGGGGGUGGUUUACAAGACAAUAUUGGAGUGUUGAGGUGAUUGAAUUUGAAGCCAUGGCUAGUUUUUGGGGGAAGAAAGAUUUUGGAAGAGAUGAUGUUGAGAUGAACGGGGGAGUUUAUAAAGUUUUGGGAUAAUGUGGAGGGUAUUUUGGACAUAUUGUUGUCUCAGCUUAAAUUUUGGGAAAAAGAUGAUCAAUAAGAAGCUCUUUUUUUCAUAUCAAUUUAAAACUCCGACGGUGUUUCCAAAAAUUGUUUUUCUUUUUCCGUUUUUUAAUUUUAAAUCAUAAAUUUAGUAAAAGAAGUUGAAUCAAGUGAUCACUUUUUUUUUAAUGUAAAACAAUUAAUUUCUUUUGUGAUUUAAGCAAAUAUUGAGUUGCAUACUUUAAAUAUAUUAAUAUUUGAUUCGAAAUUUCAUCUACCGAAACUACAAAAAUUAAUAUUUUCUAUUAAAUCAAAACCAAAAUUAAAGAUGACUCCUUGUCUGCCAACUGUCAUUAAACAAAGCCAUCACUCACGUGAAAAAAAAAAGUGAUAUAUUCAUUUUAACGUAAUUUCAUACCAACAUAUCAUUCUUUUUUUUCCAAUAAUGACCUCUUUAAUUAUAAAAUAUGGUAAAAGGGGAUGGGUUCGAGGUAUGGCGUCCGGGCCUUUGUGACAACGGUAUCUUUGGACGUGGGUGUCGUUAGAUUUUUGGCUAUUUUCUGGUCAAUCAAACUGGUGGAUCACAUGCAUUUUAAUGACCUCUUUAAUUAUAAAAUAUGGUAAAAGGGGAUGGGUUUAAGGAAUGGCGUCCAGGCCUUUGUGACAAAGUUGGAUGUGGGUGUCAUUAGACUUUUGGCUAUUCUGCUCAAUCAAACUCGUGGAUUACAUGCACUCAACGCGGACAUUAUGGAAAUGGGAGAAAAUUAUGUUAGUAAUAGCAUCUUCAAAAGUUUCUAUACAUUUUACUCUUUAAAUAUUUAUUUACUUAUUUAUAUGAUAAAUAGAAAGGUAAAAAAAUAUAUUAUUCUCCAAAAAACUCUUCAAAUAAAAAUAAGUUAAUAUUAUUUUAAUCAAAUAAUUAUUUUUUAAAGGAAAAGUUAACAGCAAUUAAAGCACUUCUCUUUCUCUCUCUAAUAAAAAGUAAUAAAAUAUUAAUUGAAGUGUUUUUUAGAACCUUAAAUGUUGAUGUGACUCUUCAAAUAAGUAAUAAAAUCUUAAUUGAAGAGCCUUUUGGUGAUGGUUUAAAACCCACUGUUUCGUUCUAAACUAAGUGAAUUUAUCUCGUGAGCUAAGUAGUUUAGGAGAUAACUCAAAUAAUUAACUUUUUAUUAGUUUAAUAAUAAGAAUUUUCGAUUAUAUUUUAAAAGUAUAAUUCAUUACAAAAAAUUACUUAAUAAAAAUAACUGUUAUUUAACAUAUUACAUUUUUUCAAUAAUAAAAUAAUUCAAAUUUUUAAUUAUUAUAACAAAAAAAUUUGUAAUAUAAUCCAUUCAUAUACCACAUCACGUAAAAUGUAACCUAGUACUACAUGUAAUCUUGUUACUACUAUUCCUAUAAUAUUCUACCACAUCAUAUACUAUCAAAUUCCAUCCGGCAUGCCAAAUGUGCAAAGUUUGAGUAAGACUUGUUAAAGUUGAGUAACAUCUUAUAUGGCCAAGCGCAUUGAGUAUGGAUUUGCAUGAUCGAGUGAGUACAACUAAAGUCGGGUAGAGUCUGGAAAAUCCCUAUAAUGUUGAGGUUGGAGAACUAUACUUUUUAAGGUACAUAAUUAAACAAUUUUGGUAAAUAUUUACUAUUAUAACUUAAAAAUUAAUUUGAUUUGAUCUCAUAUAUUAUUAUAAUAAAAAAACUUAUAAUAUCUUUAUUAAUUUUAUUAAAAAUUAUUAUUUAGAAGUCAUAUAUUUAUUACACAUUGUCAAAUUUCAGCUUUUUGUUUUUAACAACAGCUAGUAAUAUCAAACAAGACCUAAGUUGAGUAUGAUCAAUUAAUUAAAAUUAUGAUUUUUUUUUGUAUAAAAUAAUCAUUAGAUAAUUAGUCUGUAAAGAAUAUCGGCUACUUCAAAUGGAAACUUGCGAUAAAAAAUGCAUCACAAAAGUAACAAUGACACACUAUAUAAGAAAUCUGAAAUAGAAUUUGCAAAAUUGAACUGAGUUACGGAGAGUAAAUAAGACUCCAAAGGAACAUGGCAAUUAUUAUUAUCUAGGAAACAAUUCAUAGCUAAAACAAAAUUAACUAUACUUGCCAGGAAAUAUGGCGAAUUCCACCACCUCCUACAAGUUCUUAGGUGUCUUAGAGUUUGAUGACGACUUCCAUGCUGUGUCUCUUCGACAGGCAGCAAAAUUGGGCAAUUGACUACAUUAACUCCAAGAAAUUUAUGCAGUCACCUUCCUCCGGACUAUCCUCUUUCUUUGAGCUUUGGUUGCCCCUAUUUCCCCUUCAAUAGAGUCAUCACUGUUUUGUUUGAAGCCAAGGAGCCCAAGAUCAGAAAAAUGGCAUUCUUUGGUAUCAAUCCCUCGAUCCCCAAGUCACGUCACUAACUUUCUGUUGAUCGCGUAGCUAGUUCAUGUAUGCCACAGCAGCGGAAGGUAGCCUGAAGAAGAAAAAACCUCUCUCUCUUUCUUGCUCAGUAACCACCUGGGCACUUUUGUGCUGAGCCAUGACAUCCUGAGAUGGCCUGUUGUGUAAGCCUUCUUCAAAAGGUCAUCUGUCGAUCUUUCUCCUAAUUAGACAUCCAAAACCCAGCAUGGAAUCCAUUUGAGAAGGUGGACAAUAGACAAACUCCAACGCAUACAGACAGUAAAGAAGAAUUUAGACCGCAAUCACUGUGGCUGAAUAAAUGGGCCUAUUAAGCCUAUUAAAAGUUGGAACCAUAUUCACCACUCGCAGUUCCUUAGAGAACUUUAUCAGAAUUCUGAAAAUUUAAAACUAUUCUUACAUAUUUAACUGUAAAACAAGAGAAAUUGUACUUCCGUAGCAAAGUCUCACUAUUGGUAAGUAUCUGGACUUGGAAAGGAUGCUAGUUGAUUAAGUAAAGGAAAAUUGAAAUCAGACUUUGAGGUGAUAGAUCUAUAUACACUUUAAUCGGAACCACAUUAACAUCAUAUGAGCCAAACAAACAAAUUCCCCAGUCAAAGUUCAACAAACAAAACAUUAAAACAAGAGUAAUUUGGUGUAUCAAUGUAUAUAUAGAGAUGUCGAUCAUUGACAAAUACGUAAAAGAGGGAGGGAGAGACCUCAAAGCCGUGCUUAACAACAUUGCUACUCCAAUAACUUCAAAAUGGUUGGCGACGUCUCUAUCAAAGCCACACAAUAGCUGAUAUCUCAUGUUUGCAUGUAGUCCAAUGAAAGCACCAUAACCAAGAACAUUAGUACUCACAGAUGGGUUUGUCACAGAUAACCUGUCAGGCAAUAAAAAUUGCCCAAAUUAAACAAAUGUUAGACCGGCUUAGACAGUAAACGGAACAAUAUUCUAAUUUUACUUUAUUUAUAACGAAUAAGUGAACAAAGGAAUGAAAAGGAAGUUUGGCAACAGUCUUUUUACCAGCCAGAUAGUUUGACAAAGAAUCUUGCACUGCUCCUGCAGCUAAUCCCACCAUACACAACUCUGCAGUCUUGUUUGGGAGUCAAAAUUCUCAAAAUGGGUAACUCUGUUCAAAUAUACUGUUUGGGAACUUUUGUAAUGUAUUUUGCAAGUCAAACAGGAAGGUAUUUCCAUAAGAAGGUUCACUUCACAUGCUCAACAAUUCAAAUUUGCGGAUGAUAUUUCUCAAAAUGGAGGGCUCUAUUUGGCUUGCCAACAAUCUUCCUCACCAUUAUCAUCCUUGCUAUACCGGUUAAACUGAACAGUCUUCAUUCUGACAUUUGCCCUAUUAACCUGAGUACACAAGAAUCCGAAACAACUGUUAGAAAUUAUAAUCUUUAUAUAUAGCCAAAAUGUUGAAUAAGAUGAUGUACUUGAUAAUAAAUACCUGAGUUAAUAAAUAAUUAAGGGGCCGGUAACAAUGUCAGCAUCUUAUCAAGUGGGGAAAGCCUACGCAACGAAGAUGCUGCCUGCUUUCAAGAAAUAAUAACUUUCCAAUUCCAUAAGGUAGGUUAAUGCCCUUUUAAAAAUAUCUCCACCAGCCUAACAAUUAUUCAUUGAAAUGUGUGAGUGUGAAUUCGAACGAAUUAAUCAAAUAUGAUGACACGAGAAAGAAAAUUAAAAUAACCACAAGAAGUAGAAAUAUACUUUUGUUAUAUUUAGUGCAUCUUCUGUGUGUGCUCAAACGCAAUGCCUCAAGGCGCAAGAUAAUUUUAUGACCAUCAAUCUUUUGCAGCCAUAUGCAGACUUGAAACAUUGGCGGUGGUUCUAAGGAACUUGAAAAUUAGAAAAGUUUCAAAAUGAGUGACUAAAUAUGAUAAUCGAAAUUAAUUAAAUAUACACGCCUUGUAAAUAUGAAACUAAAUUACUCAAAUGUAUGUGCCUCUUCGCAGCAAUUGCUCGUGGUGGAAACUUUACUGCAAAGACUUCCUCAAACCCUUGAAGAUCACACUCUUCCUGGCAACAAAGAAACAGAGUCGAUAUACGAAGAUGAUUUUACUAACAAGUGAGAGCUUGCAAAUAUUGGAAGGAUAACGAUUGCUCAUAACCCAAAUCCCCAAUACCCUCUAAUAUCUCACUCGAGUGAGUUCAAGCCCCCAAAAUUCACUACAGUGAAACUCUCGAAACAAAAUUCUCUUCAAAUAUUCUCAACUCAAAUUUGAUAAUGAUAUCUCUUGAAGGAAGGCAAAAAAUCUAACACUGAUCAAAUUGGCUUGUGAACAAUUAAUGUUCCUGGCCAUCAUUCAUACUAGGUGUGGCGAACAAUUAAGCUGCUUAGUAUCCUGAACCUGAUAACUUACACAAACAAAAACAACUUGCCUAAAGUUUAAUAUUUAGAGGCAGAACGGUAAAGAAGAAGAUAUAUAUUGAUACUAAAAUUUGACUUGCGUUACCCUGAUGUCAAGAAUAGCGGGAUCUCAUGUGGGCAAAAUCUUCGCAAUACGAGAUGCUUGCAAAAUUGAAGCAGCAUCUUAUCACCUGUAAUUUAAUUAAGAUAAUAACUUUCCCCGACUAUUUCAAUGCAUUAUUGGCAACUAAAUUCAGAGGGCGCUAAUUAAAUACCCUUUUAACAAUAUCUUCUUAUUCUUCUCUAAUCUAGCAGUUAUUUGGAAAAUCUAAAUGACAGUCAUGCAUCAAUGGCGUCAAAAUUUGGCUACAAAGCAGCCUACAAAAGGCUUCACCCUCUGAAUGAGAGCAUGAAUUCGAAUAAUAUGAUGAAUGAAGAAACAAAGGCAUAAUACCACAAGAAGUCAAACUUUUCCCCAGAGCUCUGUUUCUGUUUGUGCUAAAGCAAAUGGAAACCAGUGGAAAUGAAUUUCUAUGAACUAGACAUAUCAGCCAAAACAGGUACUCUGUGCAAGCAAAGUAAAAAAGAGUUACAAACAAAUUUAAGAUUGAUAUGAUAAUUAAAAUUUCAGUCACCAUAUAAUUAAUAGAAAACUUUGUACACAAUGAUUUAUUGCAUAUUAAGAUUGUAUACCUAAAUUUUAAUUGCUAUGCAAAAUAUGAUAUUAGCAUUAGGAGACCGCACCAAAACGUACCGUAUUGAAUGUGCCUUUUCACAACCAUUGUACAAGCUUUGAAGCUUUGGCACAAAUGCUUUUUCAAACCCAUGAACAUGAUGCACCCGAGAGAUGCAAGAUAUGAAAUUGUUACAACAGCAGGCAUUGAAACAUUUGUUAAGAAAGGAAGUUUAUGAAAAUACGCCUUAACAUUCAUUAGAUACAUGUCUUCAGGAAUCAAUUCAUCUGUAAUAACAAUUUUCAAAGAGCAUUAACUGCUUUAAGCCCCUCAACAUCACAGAGAUCUUCAAUUAAAAUAGCGCAGAUCCGGCCAUCACUAUUACUUCUACUGCUCUUUCGCUUUAGAGAACGCUUGAAUUACAGAAUGCAUGUAAGGCUUUCUUGUUUAAGGUCCAGCAAACCUUGCACAAUAACAACAGAGGCAGUGGUUCCAUUGCCAGCCUAAUCCUUGGUCUCACCAAUGUUCUGCACGAGUAGGAAAUCAACCUUAAAAUUAAGAAUGAGUUGCAAAAACUGUUUAUGGCCCUAAAGAACUUGAAAAUCGGAAAUGAUUAAGAAUGAGUGAGUAAACAUUUUAAUCGAAUAAACAUACAAAACUUGAAAACCUAACAUUGAAGUACUCUGAAUGAAUGUGCAAUUGCACGAGCUGGUGACAACUGACUUUACUGCAAAGGCUCUUUCAAACCCUUGGAGAUGAUAAAAAUAAAAAUGCAAUGCUUGAGCUUGAGCUUGAGCUUGUUUUAACAUCAUCAUAGUAGGGAAUUUUGAUAUAUCUUUACUUCUCUGUGGUUCAAUCAUUUACUUCUCUGUUCUUGUUUAUUCACAACAAGAUAUCAAUAGAAGAAGAUGGAAAUGAAAUUCUAUAAAAUAAAGCAAGUGAAUUACCAGCAGAACAUUUUAGCAAUCCUUUGGCUAAACUUUUCAUUUUCUUAGCAUACUCUCCUGCCUGCAUCAUUAAAACCAAAUUAGAUUGGACCUGUGAAUUGCUAGUGUGGUUCUGACAUUUCCUCGAAUCCCUGGUGAACAUAAUUAAACGCGUAUGAAAUAAAACAAAGUGGGCUAAUGUACUACUAAAAACAAUUACACAAUUACUUUAAAGAAUUAAUGUCACAUAAAUUAUAUAUAAAAAAAUAAGAUUAUCAUUAUACAAGAUAAAAUUGAUAAUUUAUUUUUCAACAUUACUGCAAAUGUAUUACAGAGAUUUUGUCUCUCAGGAAGUUACACAUAACAAAUUUUCGUACAUUAAAAAAUAAAUUACAUUGGGAUUUUCUAUGAUGUUGUAUGCAAUUUUACAAAAGAGCACAUAUUUUUUAAAAGUAAAUAAAUAUAGAAAUUUAAACAGACUACACUUGUAUUUUUUUAUUAUUUAAUCUUUAGAAAACAAGUUUAACAGAAUUGAUAACUAGGAAGUUUUACAUAUUAUUUCAUUGCAAGCAACAACGAAGUAAAUCAGAGGAGGAGGAGAAAUUACCGGCGAGUGAUAUCUUACGGCUACCACGUGAUGUGGGGAAUGUGAGAUAUCUUCUCCUUUCCCCUCUCUAUGACGGUUUUCCAAAAGGGGACAUCCCCAAAUUGUCAAUUUCUGCAGCGUCGUCGUUCGAAGGAGGUAAUCCGGCAGCACCUUUAAUUUGGGGCAAUCCCCAAUUAGCAGGGAAGAAAGACGUGGUAUGUCUGUUGUCCUGCGAUCUUCUAGAAUGGGCAGUUCUUCCAAAUUUUUACAAGAAUAAAUACUCAGUUCCUGCAGCGUCGUCGUCCGAAGAAGGUAAUCCGGCAGCACCUUUAAUUUGGGGCAAUGCUCAAUUUCCAAGGAAGAAAGACGUGGCAUGAUGGAGAUGUUUUCCUUCCUCGUAAUCCUGUAAUUCCACUCUUCCAAUUCAUCCAAGAACCAAAUUUUGAGAGAUUUCAAUUUGGGGAAGGCAAUAACUGAUGAUGACGAUGAAGAUGAAGAUGAGUCGUCCUCACCGCUUUCUUUUAUUCCCAAAAACUCAUUACCCACUCUUUUUACACUUUUCAAAUUGCAUAGGAUGAGUUUUUCCGGAGGCAAUUUUCCCAAAGGAGGCAAAUGCUCACAGUUAAAACACAAGGAAAGAUAUAAAUUCCUUAGAUUGGUUAGUAAAGUCAACCAUUUGGGAAAAAUGACGCCUCCAUAGGAUUCAAUCCCUAAUUCCUCUACAUUCAAAGGCGGUUGUAAGGCUUCAAGAAGUUGUUUAUCUUUCUCGUUCUUCCUCCUCCCUUCUUCGCCUUCCCCAUCUACGACUCCACCAAACACAAGACGCAAACGAAGGAGGUUUUUCUUAUUGUAAAGUUGUAACCUCUCAACCUCAUCUACAUGCGAUACAUUACUCAGCCCUUCUAUACUACAUUUACCACGGAGUUGAAGAUUUUUCAGAGAUUCAAGCCUACAUGUGCUGCCGCCAUCAACACCUCCACCCACAACAAACUUUUCUAAUGUUCGAAGGCUGGUCAAUCUGGAAAUCCCUAUUGGAAACUCCUCAUGUUCUUUAACUUCCCAAUCCCGGCUGGCAAUUCUCUAAGAUAUUUGCACCGCCUAAUAUCUAGCUUUUGUAAAUUAUAUAAUUCACACAAAGUCUCAGGUAGUCUCGCUAUAUAUAAUUUAGACAACUUAAGAUAUUAAGAUAUUUUAAAUGUAUCAAUUUUCCAACAUUAUUUGGAAUUUCUGUAAUCCAAUUUGUGCCUUCAUACAAAAGCUUGAUCGAUUGCCUUAUAACUAAUGCCCUUAAACAUGCCAAUUUAUUAAAUAACUCCCGAAGGAUGCUAUUAUUAAGAGACGGAUUGAAAAAACCUUCAUCAUAAAUUAAUAGGGUACGCAAUCUAUUAAGUCCAUAAAUGGUCAUAGGAAAUGAAGCUCCUCCUCCAAAAUUUAACCGUAAGUGACGGACUUUGUCACCAAAAAAUUUUAUGACUGAUUCCUUGGUACCAUUAAUUUCUAGCCACAAACAUUCUUUGCUACUUACAAAUUGGGCAAAAUCAUGUACUAUGUCAUGCAUCUUACAACUCGUGAAAUCAUCAUCGUCCUCAUAUAUUUUAAACUCUUGAAAGAAAGAGUGUGUUGCUAAGAUGUUGAAAUACUCUUCUCCAAUCAUCUCCAUUUCUUCGUCUUCUUCUGCAUUAAGGUAACCUUGAGCCAUCCACAGAUCAAUCAACUCCUCUUUAUCCAUCACGUAGUCUUUUGGAAAGACAGCACAAUAUGAGAAACACCGUUUUACCAUAGAAUUGGAGGGCAAAUCGUUAUAACUCAACAACAAAGGAGCCAAAAGACCUUGCCCAAUCUCUUCUACUUUCCACAUUUCACUCUCUAAAAUUCUUUGCCACUCUUUUACUGUACUUUUAGAGCGCAAGAGAUUCCCUAUUACCUUUGCAGCAAGAGGCAGGCCUUUGCACUUACAUGCAAUUUUUCGCCCGAUUGGUUCUAAUUUUUCACAAUCCUCAAAAGAACGACCGAAAAAUGCUAACUGCUUGAACAAUGACCAGCAUUCCUCUUCAACCAAUUGCUUGAUGGAGAUAAUAUUUGUUGAUCCCAUCAUACGUGCAACUAACUCAUUACGUGUGGUAACCAAAAUUUUACUUCCGUGGAGACCAUUUUUUAGACAACGGAAGAAUGGUUGCCAUUUAUUGUAAUCCCCAUCCCAUACAUCAUCUAAGACAAGAAAAUUUUUUUUUCCUUUAAUUGAACUCUGGAUACGGCUCAUAAGAGAUUGGAAUUCGUUUAAACCAGAAGCUGACUUCCCUAGACCUUCAAUGAUUGCUUUGGCAAUCCUAAUCUGAUCAAAAGUGUCCGAUACACACACCCAUAUAACUUUUUCAAAAUUUCUUUUCACCUCAUCAUUAUUAUAGGCUAGUUGUGCAAGAGUGGUUUUACCUAUACCCCCUAACCCAACCAGUGAAAUGACCUGAAGGCCAUUUUGUUGUUCACUACUUUCACACAACAACUUGCUUAAGAGCUCACUUUUCUCAUCAACCCUACCGCAAACCUCUCCCUCAUCAAUCAAGGACGUGGUUCGCACUCUCUCUGGUUUCUUAACAUUGUUACUCACAUUCUCAACUAAUUUGAAACUAUCUUUUUGUCUGGCAAUAUCAUCUAGCUUUUCACUGAUUUCUCUAAUCUUGACAGCAAUAUCAUGACGAAGACUGAGUUGUUUGAAACCACCAAAGCAGUUUGAGGCAGCAGGAAAGAAGAAACAUACCUUCGUCAAAAAAGUAACAAAAGCACCGUCGUUAUCAUCAUAAUCAUCAUCGCCUCCCUCAUCAAGCUGCAAUUUCCGUGUUUCAGUGAUCCACUCUUCCAACAC
rnacentral:lncRNA from 1 species